CCGGCCCGGACCGUUCAUUGCAUCUAUGAUCUACCCUCUAUUAUUACUCAUUUACCCUAACUAUCCCCUCACCCUCUCUCUAUCCCGUCUCCACUCUCCUCCCUCGAUCUCUCCUCCCUCUCGAUCUCUCUCGAUCUCUUCCCUCUCGAUCUCUCGAUUUCAUAGAAGAUGACUAACGCCAGAGACGAACCGGGUGGAAGCAACAGCGGUGGCGGUGGAGGCGGAUUUCAUAGAGAGCAAGCAAAGACCUAGAAUCCAAUUGGGAACUCGAUUAUUUGCUCUGAUGAAAUACCCACUGAAGAAGAAGGCCAUGUCGCUAUUAAUUUCACAGAAGUUGUUCCUUUUGCUUCGGACUACUAUUUUUCUUUUAAAUUUUUUUACUUUAGGAAUUGUUUGUGAUGAUUUUUGUUGGGUGUAGCUGCGUUGUAGCUACUUUAUCAAGGUUCGGUCCUCCAAAAAGGGGUUGGUGGCGUUUCUUUCCCCCCCAUUUUAAUUCUUUUUUUUUUUCGAUUUUAUUGUAAAUUUAUAUAAUUUGAAUAUUUUGCUUCGUGGCGUUGGUAUUUUUUCUAAAGUUUAUGAUAUUAUUUCUGUAAAGAUUUGUUCUUUGUGGAUAUGCACCCAGAUAUGUGCAUUUGUGUGUGUGAUUUUUUUCCUUGAGCGAUUUGAGGAUGUUGAGGAAGGCGAUGAGGUCCUAGAGCGAUUUGAGUCUAUGUGGGGGACGAGCGCAUUGAAUCGUUUGGAAAUGGCGGGGCAGCGGAUGAGGGUCUUGAUGUCGAAGACCGAGUCGAACAUCGGGAGGAAGAUCGAGAGGAUGAGCAAGUCCGGGAGGCGAUCAAAAUCGGAAAAAAAAAAAAAAGUAAAAGGACCCGUGGACCCGUCCCAAACCGACCCGUUUCAAAUGGGCCGGGUUAGGUCCGGUUCCAAUGAUCAAAUUUACAAUACCCGGCCCGGCCCGUCCCGUUUCCUAUUUAAGCAGGUCCGGUCCGGUCUCUCUAAAUUUGGGCCCGGCCCGGCCUGUGCCCACCCCUAGUUUUAACGAAACACUCUCUAUACUGUUCACUUUUAACGAAAAUGACAUUUUUAUUCUAAAAAAUCAUUCAUGAUACUAUUCACUUACAACAUCUUUUUGUCAUUUUGAUUAAAACUCAAAAUUAUUAAAUUUUUUUUAUUAGUUUCCCUAAAAAAAAAAAAAAACUCUUGAUUGAGUGGGUUUGAUUAUAAGAAUUACAUUUUCUUUUCUUUUCUUUUUUCCAUAAAAGAGACGACGACAAGCUAGCUAUCUUAUCUGACAAAUUUGACACAAUACUUGGCUACUAAAAAAUUAGUAGAAAUUCUUACUUAAAAAUUUUCAAAAUUAUUCGUUGUCAAUUUAUAGAAUUUCGUGUUUAUCAUCAUAACCGAUAAAUGACUCUAUAAAGAUCGUAUUUGUAAAAAAUCAAUUAACACUAAGAUUGUUUAGGCAUCAAACUGUUUUAAAAUAAAUAUACGGUAUUGGUAAAAGCAUUACGAACCGUCUAUGUACUUGCUAUAAUAGAUUGACUAAACGUCCUUAGUUUUAAUUUAUUUUUUGCAGAUAUAAUCUUUACAGUGUGAUUUAUAGUGUGAACGGUUCUGAUUAUAAACACAAAACUCUGUGAUUAAAACACUAAAAAUUUUGAGUAUUAGUUCCUACUCAUUUUUUAGUAGCCAAGUAUUGUUCUCAAAAUUUUACGUGGCAUUUUUUGUCACCUAUCUCAAAGUUUGACGCCUGUUAUUAACUCUACUUUUAAACACUGUUAAUUCUUUGAAAAAAAUUAAAAAAGAAAAAACAUGAAAAGUUAAACCUAGAAGCCCAACCGUUCCUGCCACUCCCACUCCCACUCAGUGUCGACCACCACCAUGGCAUCCCACAAAGCUUCCUCUUCUUCUCCUCACUGAGAAUCUCGUCGUCUCUUUCCAGAUCCCCGAUACUACCAUACCCACUUUACAGUGGCCCGCCAUAUCCGGGUCCAGAUCCUUAACCCCCAACACUUCACCAACGAGCUCGACAAAGGCAAUGACGAUUCUCCAAUUUCAACACCCAGUGGACCACCAUGGCGAUGGUCUGGGUUCUUCACAUUACAUAUAUAUUUUUUUUAUUCUUAGUGUUUUUAAGUGAGUUAAAGAGCGUUUAAGUGUAGAGUUAGCAGUUGACAAGUCACAAAGAGUUUUGGAUGCAAAAGAUUUGAAGUCGCACUAGCAUUAAGAUUAAAUAAAAAAUUAACCACACAAUAUAUGAUAAUUGAUUAGGAUGUAAAGAUUCUUAACAUACUCUCAAUUUGAAUUCGAACAGGAUCCAAAUCCGUCUAGAAUUAGGAUUAGGGGUGGUCAAUAUUAAUUGUUUUCUAAGUUAGAAAUUCCUUUUAUAAAAAGAACUUGCACACAUCACACGUGUGAGCGUAUUUUAUGUCACAAUUCAAUACACAACUCAUGGCACACGCAGCAACCAAAAAGAAAAAACAUCUCACCAUCUUCCAUUCCCACUAAGUCACUAUUCCAAUCAUUUUACUUUUUAUCUUACACCAAAAGGUAUUUGUUUGACCAAAUCAUGUAUACAUAACAUCUUAGGAAGGCUGCAAACAAAAAGAAAAAUCGAAUAUUUAUCCAAAAAGAGUAUGAAACGUUCCAAAAUAUUCCGGUUUUUUAUAUUUAUUUACCAAAAUUAUGUUUUGCAAUCAAGUUUUGUAUUUUAUUGUUAAUUUUGAAUGCACUUUGUUUAUUGUUUUUAUGUUAAUCAUACACUUAUAUAUUAAAAAUAAAAAGCAUAUAUCACAAAAUAAACUGGAUUUAUAUAUAAGCAUAAAUUUGGUCAAACAAUAAACUGGAUUUAAAUAUUGAGAAAUAACAAUAAAUUUGUAAGUACGAAAAAGUUCAAGAAUAUUAAAAAAACUUGUAAAAGAAAUGAAUUUCUAAAUCAUGUUUCCAAAUUUAUGAGAUUACUCUGAAUUCAAAUAUUCUAAAACUUUCGAAUUUAAAAAUUGUGAUCCGAUCUGACUUAAUUCUACAAUUUAAAAAAAAUGAAAACGUUUUGUUUCCAAUUCAUUCAUCUGACAAUCAACCCCAACUGAUUGAAUCCAAUCAAACUGCCCAAUAACACAGUCAAUUAACUUUCCAGAGGGAGGCCGAAAUACCUCUUCGAGUCUUCUCGACCUCAGAAUGAUAGAUUGCUACGACGAAGCCACCAACUGGUCCACUUUAAAAAAAUUAAAUAAAAUCAUCUUUCUAGGGCUUGGAGCUCAACUCAUCUAUGCGAACUCUCUAUUUUUAAAAUUCAAACGUAAGAUCACUCACUUACAAAUGAAGAAGAAUAUCACUAGACUGUUUUACUAAGUAGCUUUUCAAAUGCAUUACAUACUCUAAUGUUCAUUUAUUUACCAUAAAUGUAUUGUGUUUGCGUUGUAUGAAAUAAUGCUAAACUUAAACCCAAUUUGUUAACCACCAAUACCUAUAAUUUAUCGUGCAAAAUCUUAUCGUUUUAUUGCGUUGUAUAUUACUAUCACAUCAACUUCUGACUUAGAUGCAUUCAAUCCACGAAAAUCGAAAUUCACUUUGAAAUUUGAAGAUUAAUUUGGUACAUGAAAUAAUUUACCAAACAAAGAUUCAGUAAAAAGUGACUACAAAUACAACCAAUGGGUAAAUAAUGUAUGAGAACCAGUACAUCCUAAAAUACAUCUUGUAUACGGUCAGAGGGAAGAAACCACUAAAUCGUAGUACUAAAUGAUAUGUAUUUGUUAAAAUCCACAAAAAAUUCACUUUUCUCGUUCAAUUCUUCCAUUUUUUUUCUUCCUACCUGCUACCACUAUUUAUUUUCAUUUCCAAAUUUUCAUGAUGUCAAACCAUCGUAUUAGAAAACCUAAUUGGUCAAUGAUGAAGAUAAAAAGGAGUUCUGGUGAACGUCGUUGACAAGAAUGGGUUGGUUGUGUUAUUUUUCAUAAUUUAUCGGAAUUUGAAUUUGGAGGUUAAAUGUUCAUAAGUUGAGAAAUUAUUACCUCAAAAUGAGUUAGGUGCCACGCACAUGAAACUAAAUUAAAGGGCAAUAUGAAAAACUAAAUGAGAAAAUUGUAGCAAUAGUCUUUCAACUUUAACCUUAAUAGGAGAAAUGAUCCCUUAACUUUAGCCCAAUUGAAACAAUAGUUCCUCAAUUUUAACUCAAUUUUAGUAAUGUUCUUCUAACAUGGCUCAUUUUGACAGAAGUUAUGACGGAGUUGACGAAAAGAACCAUAGUUGUACUUUUUGGUGUGUUAAAGGACAAAUGGUAAUAUAUUUUUAAUUGAGGGAGCAUCGCUUCAAUUGGAUUAAAGUUGCGGUACCAUUAUAACUUAAAUGAGAUAAACCACACACAGUAAAAGCAAUUUACAUUGUAACAGCAUCGUCGUCAUCCUGUCCAUGUUGAGAUUUUGUUUGAACUGUUUAAAUUUGAGAUGCAGAUACCCUCCUUGGCAAAAGUCUCCUUGAAUUGCAGAUUUGCGAUGGCACAAAAUAAUAAGUAGGUGAUUAACUAACUUGUAGCUAAUCGUGCUGAUAUGACAGUAAGUACCAGAAAGAAAAAACACGAUGAACCAACUCGGGAGUCGAGCACAAGUUCACAAACACAACAAACUCGCAAUCUAAAUCCCAUUGCAGCUGAGCAAUAUAUAACGUCAAGGAAUUAUCCGAAGAUCGCUUAACCGUAGCAAGAGCACUCUCAGGGAGCAAUCUCAUUCUUUUUUUCUGUCCAGGAGUCCAUUUCUAUCUCUUUCUCUUGUAUUACUUCCAGCUAGAACUGAAUGCGGAAAAUAUGGGAAAGCAUCUCGUGAUGUAUUUAACCAAAAAAGUUGUGAUGCUUCCACAUUCUCAAGUGAUUUAGACCCUUUUGUACGCACAUCUAAUUCCCAUUCCGUUUGAAGAUCGAAGCUAUAUGAAGCAAAUGGCAAUGGCUUCGUUUCCUCUGAAUGAAUGAGCUUAAUUAAAAACUGAAUAACAAAUGGCAUAGGCUUCCUUAAUUAAUUAGGUCCAAACUUGUAACAAAGAAAGGAAUAACAUCCCUAACUAAAAGAUUAUACGUAAAAAUUAAAAACUGAAUAAGCUUAAUUUCAGUAAAUGAAUCCAUAAUACUCAUCAUCCAUAUAUUAUAAUCUAGGGGAUACCCAAAUACAUAAUAUACCAAAUAGUUUUCAAAUUCGGAGCAGAACAGGAAAUUAUGUCAAGAGAUGAUGAAUGCGAACGGAACAUAGAGCAUCAACCCAAUGACAAUGCCAAGUUGCCAACGGAGUCCACGAUGAGCAAGUGAGCAAAUCAGUCCACAACAGCAAGAGCUUGAAACUGUUUGUCCGAGAAGGCUGCUUCCAUGACAUGGUGCGGGCCAAUAUCCCCACCAUUCUCCAAGAAGGACCUGACCAAAUUAUUAGACCAGCCACCCAAUAGCGUCACCCCUGGACGAGGCAAAGCGAUCGAAGGAAAUUCCCAGCACCAAAUAUCCCAAAUCAGAAUGUGAGGCACCGCAUCAUCCCAUACCCUUUGUCCUUAAACAUGGUCCUUAAUGGCCUCGUACUGAGUCUCCCAGGCUGCGCUAUCAAAAAAAAUCAGAGCCCAUGUUGUAGUUGAAGAUAAAGAGCUUCUGGAUCAUCUGAUCUGGCUUCAAAAUUCUCAUUGACAGUCACUUGGAGAAUCAAAUCAAAUACCUUUCGCAAAUGAACUACCAGGCGGCCGUCCAUUCCCAUCGUUGCAGGGUACUGAAUACAGAUGAGGAAGACGAAAUAACAGAGCGUGGUCGUCCCCGGCAGCAGCCGGAAGAGGAGCGGAACUGAUCAGCUUUCCUUUCCAGGCCGGCUCUUCAUUCAGUUCACUCACAAAAAGUCCCAAACUCGCCGUCAAUUCCCUAGCCCCGCCCAUAAUUCUGUUCAUGUUACAUACAGCGAAGCAGUUUCUGAAUUUGCCACCCUCCUUGUGCUUGCGCAGCAAUGCAUUCCACUGAAGCUCAGCCGCCUCCCCAACAUUCGCAUCUUUCAAAUAUCGUAUGAUAAAAUGUGGAAGCAAAGCAUCGGGCUCUAUGACGAAACUUAAAUUGCCUUUGCUUGCUGUUGUUGCUGAGGCUUUCACCUGCUCCAAAUAUUUAAUAUCCACACCCCACCGUCUCGGGUUGAACCUGCCCUGACGCUUAUUGUACUUCUGCAAGGGCGCCAAGAACUCCUUCCUCAGCCGCUCCCACUGAUCAUCCUCCUUUGAUGAUUGGUCUGGUUGUUGCGAUUGCGACACCAAAGAGAAGAGCCGCCUGGCAGUGCUUUCGCUAAGCGCAAUGGCGCGGAUGGCAUGGGCGUCUGUAAAAAUAUAUUUGAUUAUUUUGACUUAAAUUGAAAAGGAUACAAAAGGCCUUUUUAUACAGACUCAUUCUCUUGGAAGAGAAUUAACCUAGCCUACAAUUUAGCUAUACAAAAAAGGAAGAUUUUGUACAAAUCAAUUACAGACUUUGUUUCCUAUUCUAAGCUAAGAUAUCAGGGAUCUUGAUAUCAUUGACUUCUCAACACUCCCCCUCAAGUUGGAGAGUGAACGCCGAGAACUCCCAACUUGCGUAUGAUGGAUAAGAAAGCCUCCUUUCCUAAUGCCUUUGUGAAAACAUCUGCAAGCUGGUUUGAAGAGGGAAUGUAUCUUGUGACAACCGAACCAUCUUGUAUCUUGUCUCGAAUAAAAUGACAAUCAAUCUCUAUAUGUCUAGUUCGUUCAUGAAAAACUGGAUUAGCAGCUAUAUGGAGCGCCGCUUUGUUGUCACAAUGUAGCAAGGCCGGUUUUGGGUGAAGCAAACCUAGAUCCUUCAGAAGAUAUUGAAGCCAUGACAGUUCACAACAAGUUCCAGUCAUGGCUCUAUAUUCGGCCUCUGCUGAUGAUAAAGAAACGGUCUUUUGUCUCUUUGACCUCCAAGAGAUCAACGAAGAACCCAAAAAGACGCAAUAACCUGUAGUUGACCUUCGUGUCGUAGGACAUCCUGCCCAGUUUGAAUCACAAUAUGCACUUAAGUUUAAGUUGUUUUGAGAAGAGAAAAAACAAACCCUAUCCAGGCGUACUCUUCAAGUAUUUCAGGAUUCGGAGAGCUGCUUCCAUGUGCGGUUGUCGUGGUUCAUGCAUGAAUCGGCUCAACACAUGCACGGGAUAAGUGAUGUCUGGCCUUGUAAUAGUUAAAUAGAUCAAUCGACCAACCAACCUUCUAUACUUUGCCGGAUCUUUAAGCAACUCACCAGUGUUAGAAAGUUUAACAUUCUGCUCCAUAGGAAACUCCACUGGGCGAGCUCCCAAAAGACCACUAUCUUUCAAAAUUUCUAAAGCGUAUUUUCGCUGAGAAAUAAAGAUCCCUUUCUUUGACUGAGAAACCUCUAUUCCCAUAAAGUACUUCAAGUUACCAAGGUCCUUGAUUUUGAAGUGACCAUGAAGAAAUCUUUUAAGAGCAUUAAUUCCUUCAUGAUCAUUGCCAGUGAUCAAAAUAUCGUCAACAUAGAUCAGGAGGGCUAUAAAGGAUUGCCCUUGCUGCCUCGUAAACAAAGAAUAAUCUGCCUUUGAUUGGAUAUAACCAGCGGAUUUAAUUGCUUCUGAAAACUUUGCAAACCAUUGCCGGGACGCUUGUUUCAAGCCGUAGAGGGAUUUAUUAAGGCGACACACGAUAUUCUCCCCCCCUGUCGCCGAAGACCAGGAGGAAGGGUCAUAUAGAUUUCUUCAUGAAGAUCACCAUGAAGAAAGGCGUUGUGGACAUCAAGUUGGUGGAGAGACCAGUUGCGGGCAGCAGCGAGGGCUAACAAACAACGAACAGUGACCAUCUUAGCAGUAGGGGGAGAAGGUAUCGUGAUAAUCAACACCUUCAAGUUGAGUGUAACCCUUGGCUACAAGGCGAGCCUUAUAACGUUCAAUAGAACCAUCAGAACGAUGUUUGAUCUUAUAAACCCAACGACAACCAAUGGGAGUUUUGCCGACAGGGAGAGGAGUGAGUGUCCAAGUAUUAGUGGCCUCCAAAGCACGGAGUUCAGAGUCCAUGGCAGCAUGCCAAUGGGAAUGAAGAGCAGCCUGAGCAUAAGUGUGAGGUUCGACCUGCCGACUGAUAGAAGCAAGGAAAGAUUUUUGUUGAGGUGAGAAACGAUGAUAAGUGAGAAAAUUAGCAAGAGGAUACCUUGUACCGGUGGUAGGACCUGUCGACGAAGAUGAUGAAUCGAUUGGUUGGGUAGAAGGCAAAGUAGGGCAAACAUAAUCACUGAAGCGAGCGGGAGGAGCUGAGCGACGGUCAGAGUGGCGAAGCACGGGUGCAGAGGGCACGGAAGGUGCUGGAGGCACGGGCGCUGGGAGCGCUGAUAUGGCAGGAUCAGGUACAGAGGGAGAUGUAGCAUCAGACGCGGGAGGAAAAGACUCAACAGGUGACACGGUGACACGGGAGAAACAAUGGGUGCGGAAUGAUCAGUGUAGUCAAGAAGGGGUUGAGGUAAGACAGGUCCUGGUUGGUCAUCGGAUGGGGAUUGAUGUUGGUAAGGGAAAAUAUNNNNNNNNNNNNNNNNNNNNNNNNNNNNNNNNNNNNNNNNNNNNNNNNNNNNNNNNNNNNNNNNNNNNNNNNNNNNNNNNNNNNNNNNNNNNNNNNNNNNNNNNNNNNNNNNNNNNNNNNNNNNNNNNNNNNNNNNNNNNNNNNNNNNNNNNNNNNNNNNNNNNNNNNNNNNNNNNNNNNNNNNNNNNNNNNNNNNNNNNNNNNNNNNNNNNNNNNNNNNNNNNNNNNNNNNNNNNNNNNNNNNNNNNNNNNNNNNNNNNNNNNNNNNNNNNNNNNNNNNNNNNNNNNNNNNNNNNNNNNNNNNNNNNNNNNNNNNNNNNNNNNNNNNNNNNNNNNNNNNNNNNNNNNNNNNNNNNNNNNNNNNNNNNNNNNNNNNNNNNNNNNNNNNNNNNNNNNNNNNNNNNNNNNNNNNNNNNNNNNNNNNNNNNNNNNNNNNNNNNNNNNNNNNNNNNNNNNNNNNNNNNNNNNNNNNNNNNNNNNNNNNNNNNNNNNNNNNNNNNUUUUUGGUAUUGACAUUUAGGUACAUACAUUUUCAGUAUUAACAUUUAGGUACAUUAAUUCAAUAUAAUAUACAUUUCGGUACAUACAUUUAGGUUCAUUAUAAUAUAUUUCGGUACAAUCAUGUCGGUACAAAUAUUUCAGUACAAAAAAAGUCAAUUUUAUAUAUUUUGGCAUAAUCAUUUCUCUGUACACUUAUGUAUUUAUAUAUUUUUUGUAUCACAAAUUUCUUUUAAUAUUUUCUCAUUUACAUUCAUUUCUAAUUAAAAAAACUAAAUAUGAGCAUAUUAAUAAAAUUAAAAUUUAAUAUGGAGAGAUUAAAUAAAAAUAAACAUUAAAUAACAAAAAUUGAAUGUAAAUUUUGAUAAAAGUACAUUCAAGGGAUUAAAUUGAAUAUUUAAUCUAGCACUAGGUUUUUUUUAAAUUUUAAUCUUUUGCAAGGACUAAUGUUCAAAAACCCCAAAUUUAUAUGAUGUUGAGUAAAUCAAAGCUUUUGCAUAAAAAUUUAAAUGAUGUUGAGUUUCUAUGCUAACUACCAAUUGGUUUUUAAAUUGAAUUGAAAAAUUCAGAUGAACAUAUAUUUCUUUUGCAUGAAUAAUGUGGUUUUCUAAAAUAAAAGUCCACCCGAAAUAAAGCAUGCCAGUGUAAGAAAGGGAACCCUUUUCUCAUCAAAGCUGCAUUUGUUAUAGAAAAGUUCUGAGAAAAUUGGUAAUUGAAAAAGCAAGACUUGAAGCUUCAACACAAGCAAUGAUGGAGAGUCCAGCAGUCCCAACACAUUAGAAUAUAGUAGACUUUUGUAGUUAGUCAAAUGGCUGACAAACAAAGCGAUUACUGACUUCCUUUUGAAAUGAAGGUCAUCAUCAUCCACCAAACCCUUUGGGGUGAUCAUGCAACGUCAAUGGAACAUCUACCUGUUUUCUAUACUAUAUAUGAUCUACUUUUCUUUUUUUCAUAUUCCGAGUUUCUAGUUCAACAAAUUCAUCCGUUGAAAUUCUGUUUAGCUUAACUUAUUACUCGUAUAACAAUAAGGCAUAUAGUCUAAUGAUACUAAUUCUCUCAAACCAUCUCUGGAUAGAGGUAAGACCUAUUUGUAUUGUGAACCAUACAUUUAUUAGAGACAUAAUUAAGAUGCGAUAUACAAUGUGAUCUUUCUCUAGCAUUAUUCGAAAACUAUUUACAUAUCCUAUAGUUUGUCCGUUACGACCACGCUCACUACAAGUUUACCUCAUUUCAACCCGUGACAACAAAAAAUCAGUUCAGUCAGUGAAUCAGUGGAGCCCUAACCCUCUUUCGUCUGUGUCGCAGGUUGGGUGGUUGAGGGAAGGGAAAGGAAAGGGAAAGGGGAGUGAGCGCGAUCAAACGAGAUGAAGAGGGAGAGAUCGACGACGAAGGGAGAGUUCGAAAGGAGAGAAGCUAGAGAGUGGGAGCGGCAAAAGGAGAAGAGUGAACGCGUUAGGUAUAAGAGAAAGAGACCGGAGUAGGAUUGUCUGUAUGAAAGUUUCAUUAACCAGUAUAGUUCAUCCGCUUCAUGUGAAAAAAAACUAUAGUUUCAGAAGUACGGGUAGAGCUGCUUCUGCAUAUGCUGUUUUGGACCCAUGAUUUGGAAAGAAUAAAAAAACACUUUUUUUUAUUUACCAAACACAAGUUUAGCUCAAACUUUUUUCAAAAAAAAAUUUGUUUUUUAAAAAAUUUCAACAAUAUCAAAUCAGCUCUAAGUAUAAUGAACAAGUUGUACGUUGUGUAAUAUAAAUCGGUUGUUAUAUAAUACUUUAAUUAAAUUCGCAUAUGUAGUUUAUUCAGGCAUUUAGAUAUAGAUGCCUUAGCAUUCUAUUUCUUUUUAUAAACAUUUAGUGUGCUAUAGGUUUUAGAUUAAACCACCUCUAAAAUGGAGCCAUAUGGUAUAGUUUAUAAAAGCUACAAGAAAUGGGUAUCCUACAUGAAAAGUACGCAGUAUUAUUGGGCAACUUUGCUAAGAGAUUUUUUGAAAACUUUGGUACUUAAAUUUUGUGUAUUAUUGAAAAUAUAUGUAAACAACGUGUACUAAAUGUAAAACGUAUGCGUGUACAUAUAUCAUGGAGUUUUAAAAAACAUCAUAUUAUAUAAGCAAAUUGUUAUUGAUAUUCUAAAAAUCUAAUUGUGUACUCCAAACUUUUUAUAUUUGGAAAGCAAAAUAAUCUUAUGAAGAAUGUACAAUUAGAUUUUUUGAAGUAUUAAUAAUAAUUCUCUUACACUAUGUUUGGAUGAGGGAAAUAAACUUGAAAUUUGGAUUAAAGUCGGAAUUUAUAAAUUGACAUGCACAAAUUCUCUUGUUUGGAUUCAUAAAUAUAAAAAUUUAGAAUUUCCGCGUGGAAAAUAAAUUUGGAAUUUGGGAUCACCAAUUUCCAAGUUUAAAUUCUAUGUAAAUACGUGUCAUUUUUUCAAUUUCUAUAAUUGAAAGUUUAAAAAUAACAAAUUUUUUGUAUUCAAUUACAUUGGUCUUUUAGAUUAACCAAACAAGAAAAUUCACAAAUUCUAGGAAAUAAAAUCCCGACAUUUCAAUUUCUGUCAUUUUAAAAUUCUUUAAUAAUUUUAAAUUUCUUCAUCCAAACAUAGUGUUAUUGAACAAAUGAAUAAACUACAUAGAAAAAUCUAAUUAAAUAAUAUUAAAAUAUUACAGGUCCCAAGAAUGAACAAUCAAUCUCUGAACGACUCACCACUGCAAUCACAAUACUCGAGUCUCCUUCCAAAACCAAAUUUGAAUUAGCAGUUUGGAAUUCCACUAGAAGCUCUGUUGCACGUCUAGCCGCAAGCAUUUCAGCAUGGGAAACCUAUGUUCCCCGAUGUGGAACAUGGAGUCUCAAAAACUCCAAUAAACAUAUGACAUAUGAGUGUCUAGUAAGAAACUUUUCUUAACUACUUGAGUUAUAAACUCAUUAUCAGAAUUUCUAAGAACCCGCUACCAUAAAUAUAUUGGACACUUGAACUUGUAACAAAUUCAUUAUCUGUGUAAGUUGAAUAUGAAAUCUCCCACUCACAAAUAGAGAGAAUUAACAUCAUCAGACCAUACUAUUAGUGGUUAUAUGCGUAAUAAGUUAUGGUAAACAUAAUUUGAACGGACGAAUUUGUUGAACAAGAAACUUGGAAUAUGAAUGCACAUAUAAUAGAAUGAUUUUAUUCCAUGUCCAUAGUUUGGUUCAUAAAAAAAGAAAUAGAAUGUAUAGAAAACAGGUAGAUGUUCCAUUGACGUACGUUGCAUGAUCACCCCCACCCCCAAAGGCCAAAUUAAGGGUUUGGUGGGUGAUGGCCUUCCCUUCAAAAGGAAGUCAGCAAUCACUAUGUUUGUCAGCCUUUUGACUAACUACAAAAAGUCUACGAUAUUCUGAUGUGUUAGGACUGCUCGACUCUGUCCAUUGUUGCUUGUGUUGAAGCUUCAAUCUUGCUUUUUCAGUUACCAGUUUUUUUUCAAAACUUUUAUAUUAAAAUAUGCAUAAAAUGCAGGUUUGAUGAGAAAAUGGUAAUUGGUUCCCUUAAACAUAAUUGACGUUGCAUGAUCACCCCAAAGGGUUUGGUGGGUGAUGGCCUUCCUCUCAAAAGGAAGUCAGCAAUCACUAUGUUUGUCAGCCAUUUGACUUAACUACAAAAAAAGUCUACAAUAUUCUAAUGCGUUGGUUGGUACUGCUUGACGAUCUGUCCAUUGUUGCUUGUGUUGAAUCUUCAACUCUUGCUUUUUCAGUUACCAAAUUCUUUUUUUUUUUCAAAACUUUUGUAUAUACAAAUGCAGCUUUGAUGAGAAAAGGGUUGCUUUGUUUCGGGUCUUGUUUUACUUUAGAAAACCACAUUAUUCAUGCAAAAAAAAGAUAUCAUUCAACUGAAUUUUUUAAUUCAAUUUAAAAACCAAUUGGUAGUGAGUAUAGAAACUAAACAUCGUUUAAGUUUUUAUUCAAAAGGUUUGAUUUCUCGAUAUGGACCUUCGACCUUCGAUUACACACAACUCAAACACAUGAAUUGUGUGUUUUGAUACCAUGUUAAAGUUCAACUAAUAAACUCAAAAGUAUUAUUCAUGAAUAAAAAACCCAAAAUUAUUUAAAUUGUUGUUGUAUUUGAACCACAAUUGUUAACAGUUCUGCGUGUUUGGUCAACAAAAAAAAUGGAGUUUUAACUAGGGGUGGGCAAACGGUUCCUGGAUCCGUGGGGCGGGCCGGUUCUUUGCGGUUAGGGGCGGGUAUGGGACGGGUCUAAAAAUUACAAAUACAAAACGGGCUAGGCCGGGCCGGUUCCUUAUAAAUAACGGGGCAGGCCGAUUCAAAAAAUUGGAAAAAAGGGGCCCCCGGCCCGGACCGUUCAUUGCAUCUAUGAUCUACCCUCUAUUAUUACUCAUUUACCCUAACUAUCCCCUCACCCUCUCUCUAUCCCGUCUCCACUCUCCUCCCUCGAUCUCUCCUCCCUCUCGAUCUCUCUCGAUCUCUUCCCUCUCGAUCUCUCGAUUUCAUAGAAGAUGACUAACGCCAGAGACGAACCGGGUGGAAGCAACAGCGGUGGCGGUGGAGGCGGAUUUCAUAGAGAGCAAGCAAAGACCUAGAAUCCAAUUGGGAACUCGAUUAUUUGCUCUGAUGAAAUACCCACUGAAGAAGAAGGCCAUGUCGCUAUUAAUUUCACAGAAGUUGUUCCUUUUGCUUCGGACUACUAUUUUUCUUUUAAAUUUUUUUACUUUAGGAAUUGUUUGUGAUGAUUUUUGUUGGGUGUAGCUGCGUUGUAGCUACUUUAUCAAGGUUCGGUCCUCCAAAAAGGGGUUGGUGGCGUUUCUUUCCCCCCCAUUUUAAUUCUUUUUUUUUUUCGAUUUUAUUGUAAAUUUAUAUAAUUUGAAUAUUUUGCUUCGUGGCGUUGGUAUUUUUUCUAAAGUUUAUGAUAUUAUUUCUGUAAAGAUUUGUUCUUUGUGGAUAUGCACCCAGAUAUGUGCAUUUGUGUGUGUGAUUUUUUUCCUUGAGCGAUUUGAGGAUGUUGAGGAAGGCGAUGAGGUCCUAGAGCGAUUUGAGUCUAUGUGGGGGACGAGCGCAUUGAAUCGUUUGGAAAUGGCGGGGCAGCGGAUGAGGGUCUUGAUGUCGAAGACCGAGUCGAACAUCGGGAGGAAGAUCGAGAGGAUGAGCAAGUCCGGGAGGCGAUCAAAAUCGGAAAAAAAAAAAAAAGUAAAAGGACCCGUGGACCCGUCCCAAACCGACCCGUUUCAAAUGGGCCGGGUUAGGUCCGGUUCCAAUGAUCAAAUUUACAAUACCCGGCCCGGCCCGUCCCGUUUCCUAUUUAAGCAGGUCCGGUCCGGUCUCUCUAAAUUUGGGCCCGGCCCGGCCUGUGCCCACCCCUAGUUUUAACGAAACACUCUCUAUACUGUUCACUUUUAACGAAAAUGACAUUUUUAUUCUAAAAAAUCAUUCAUGAUACUAUUCACUUACAACAUCUUUUUGUCAUUUUGAUUAAAACUCAAAAUUAUUAAAUUUUUUUUAUUAGUUUCCCUAAAAAAAAAAAAAACUCUUGAUUGAGUGGGUUUGAUUAUAAGAAUUACAUUUUCUUUUCUUUUCUUUUUUCCAUAAAAGAGACGACGACAAGCUAGCUAUCUUAUCUGACAAAUUUGACACAAUACUUGGCUACUAAAAAAUUAGUAGAAAUUCUUACUUAAAAAUUUUCAAAAUUAUUCGUUGUCAAUUUAUAGAAUUUCGUGUUUAUCAUCAUAACCGAUAAAUGACUCUAUAAAGAUCGUAUUUGUAAAAAAUCAAUUAACACUAAGAUUGUUUAGGCAUCAAACUGUUUUAAAAUAAAUAUACGGUAUUGGUAAAAGCAUUACGAACCGUCUAUGUACUUGCUAUAAUAGAUUGACUAAACGUCCUUAGUUUUAAUUUAUUUUUUGCAGAUAUAAUCUUUACAGUGUGAUUUAUAGUGUGAACGGUUCUGAUUAUAAACACAAAACUCUGUGAUUAAAACACUAAAAAUUUUGAGUAUUAGUUCCUACUCAUUUUUUAGUAGCCAAGUAUUGUUCUCAAAAUUUUACGUGGCAUUUUUUGUCACCUAUCUCAAAGUUUGACGCCUGUUAUUAACUCUACUUUUAAACACUGUUAAUUCUUUGAAAAAAAUUAAAAAAGAAAAAACAUGAAAAGUUAAACCUAGAAGCCCAACCGUUCCUGCCACUCCCACUCCCACUCAGUGUCGACCACCACCAUGGCAUCCCACAAAGCUUCCUCUUCUUCUCCUCACUGAGAAUCUCGUCGUCUCUUUCCAGAUCCCCGAUACUACCAUACCCACUUUACAGUGGCCCGCCAUAUCCGGGUCCAGAUCCUUAACCCCCAACACUUCACCAACGAGCUCGACAAAGGCAAUGACGAUUCUCCAAUUUCAACACCCAGUGGACCACCAUGGCGAUGGUCUGGGUUCUUCACAUUACAUAUAUAUUUUUUUUAUUCUUAGUGUUUUUAAGUGAGUUAAAGAGCGUUUAAGUGUAGAGUUAGCAGUUGACAAGUCACAAAGAGUUUUGGAUGCAAAAGAUUUGAAGUCGCACUAGCAUUAAGAUUAAAUAAAAAAUUAACCACACAAUAUAUGAUAAUUGAUUAGGAUGUAAAGAUUCUUAACAUACUCUCAAUUUGAAUUCGAACAGGAUCCAAAUCCGUCUAGAAUUAGGAUUAGGGGUGGUCAAUAUUAAUUGUUUUCUAAGUUAGAAAUUCCUUUUAUAAAAAGAACUUGCACACAUCACACGUGUGAGCGUAUUUUAUGUCACAAUUCAAUACACAACUCAUGGCACACGCAGCAACCAAAAAGAAAAAACAUCUCACCAUCUUCCAUUCCCACUAAGUCACUAUUCCAAUCAUUUUACUUUUUAUCUUACACCAAAAGGUAUUUGUUUGACCAAAUCAUGUAUACAUAACAUCUUAGGAAGGCUGCAAACAAAAAGAAAAAUCGAAUAUUUAUCCAAAAAGAGUAUGAAACGUUCCAAAAUAUUCCGGUUUUUUAUAUUUAUUUACCAAAAUUAUGUUUUGCAAUCAAGUUUUGUAUUUUAUUGUUAAUUUUGAAUGCACUUUGUUUAUUGUUUUUAUGUUAAUCAUACACUUAUAUAUUAAAAAUAAAAAGCAUAUAUCACAAAAUAAACUGGAUUUAUAUAUAAGCAUAAAUUUGGUCAAACAAUAAACUGGAUUUAAAUAUUGAGAAAUAACAAUAAAUUUGUAAGUACGAAAAAGUUCAAGAAUAUUAAAAAAACUUGUAAAAGAAAUGAAUUUCUAAAUCAUGUUUCCAAAUUUAUGAGAUUACUCUGAAUUCAAAUAUUCUAAAACUUUCGAAUUUAAAAAUUGUGAUCCGAUCUGACUUAAUUCUACAAUUUAAAAAAAAUGAAAACGUUUUGUUUCCAAUUCAUUCAUCUGACAAUCAACCCCAACUGAUUGAAUCCAAUCAAACUGCCCAAUAACACAGUCAAUUAACUUUCCAGAGGGAGGCCGAAAUACCUCUUCGAGUCUUCUCGACCUCAGAAUGAUAGAUUGCUACGACGAAGCCACCAACUGGUCCACUUUAAAAAAAUUAAAUAAAAUCAUCUUUCUAGGGCUUGGAGCUCAACUCAUCUAUGCGAACUCUCUAUUUUUAAAAUUCAAACGUAAGAUCACUCACUUACAAAUGAAGAAGAAUAUCACUAGACUGUUUUACUAAGUAGCUUUUCAAAUGCAUUACAUACUCUAAUGUUCAUUUAUUUACCAUAAAUGUAUUGUGUUUGCGUUGUAUGAAAUAAUGCUAAACUUAAACCCAAUUUGUUAACCACCAAUACCUAUAAUUUAUCGUGCAAAAUCUUAUCGUUUUAUUGCGUUGUAUAUUACUAUCACAUCAACUUCUGACUUAGAUGCAUUCAAUCCACGAAAAUCGAAAUUCACUUUGAAAUUUGAAGAUUAAUUUGGUACAUGAAAUAAUUUACCAAACAAAGAUUCAGUAAAAAGUGACUACAAAUACAACCAAUGGGUAAAUAAUGUAUGAGAACCAGUACAUCCUAAAAUACAUCUUGUAUACGGUCAGAGGGAAGAAACCACUAAAUCGUAGUACUAAAUGAUAUGUAUUUGUUAAAAUCCACAAAAAUUCACUUUUCUCGUUCAAUUCUUCCAUUUUUUUUCUUCCUACCUGCUACCACUAUUUAUUUUCAUUUCCAAAUUUUCAUGAUGUCAAACCAUCGUAUUAGAAAACCUAAUUGGUCAAUGAUGAAGAUAAAAAGGAGUUCUGGUGAACGUCGUUGACAAGAAUGGGUUGGUUGUGUUAUUUUUCAUAAUUUAUCGGAAUUUGAAUUUGGAGGUUAAAUGUUCAUAAGUUGAGAAUUAUUACCUCAAAAUGAGUUAGGUGCCACGCACAUGAAACUAAAUUAAAGGGCAAUAUGAAAAACUAAAUGAGAAAAUUGUAGCAAUAGUCUUUCAACUUUAACCUUAAUAGGAGAAAUGAUCCCUUAACUUUAGCCCAAUUGAAACAAUAGUUCCUCAAUUUUAACUCAAUUUUAGUAAUGUUCUUCUAACAUGGCUCAUUUUGACAGAAGUUAUGACGGAGUUGACGAAAAGAACCAUAGUUGUACUUUUUGGUGUGUUAAAGGACAAAUGGUAAUAUAUUUUUAAUUGAGGGAGCAUCGCUUCAAUUGGAUUAAAGUUGCGGUACCAUUAUAACUUAAAUGAGAUAAACCACACCAGUAAAAGCAAUUUACAUUGUAACAGCAUCGUCGUCAUCCUGUCCAUGUUGAGAUUUUGUUUGAACUGUUUAAUUUGAGAUGCAGAUACCCUCCUUGGCAAAAGUCUCCUUGAAUUGCAGAUUUGCGAUGGCACAAAAUAAUAAGUAGGUGAUUAACUAACUUGUAGCUAAUCGUGCUGAUAUGACAGUAAGUACCAGAAAGAAAAAACACGAUGAACCAACUCGGGAGUCGAGCACAAGUUCACAAACACAACAAACUCGCAAUCUAAAUCCCAUUGCAGCUGAGCAAUAUAUAACGUCAAGGAAUUAUCCGAAGAUCGCUUAACCGUAGCAAGAGCACUCUCAGGGAGCAAUCUCAUUCUUUUUUUCUGUCCAGGAGUCCAUUUCUAUCUCUUUCUCUUGUAUUACUUCCAGCUAGAACUGAAUGCGGAAAAUAUGGGAAAGCAUCUCGUGAUGUAUUUAACCAAAAAAGUUGUGAUGCUUCCACAUUCUCAAGUGAUUUAGACCCUUUUGUACGCACAUCUAAUUCCCAUUCCGUUUGAAGAUCGAAGCUAUAUGAAGCAAAUGGCAAUGGCUUCGUUUCCUCUGAAUGAAUGAGCUUAAUUAAAAACUGAAUAACAAAUGGCAUAGGCUUCCUUAAUUAAUUAGGUCCAAACUUGUAACAAAGAAAGGAAUAACAUCCCUAACUAAAAGAUUAUACGUAAAAAUUAAAAACUGAAUAAGCUUAAUUUCAGUAAAUGAAUCCAUAAUACUCAUCAUCCAUAUAUUAUAAUCUAGGGGAUACCCAAAUACAUAAUAUACCAAAUAGUUUUCAAAUUCGGAGCAGAACAGGAAAUUAUGUCAAGAGAUGAUGAAUGCGAACGGAACAUAGAGCAUCAACCCAAUGACAAUGCCAAGUUGCCAACGGAGUCCACGAUGAGCAAGUGAGCAAAUCAGUCCACAACAGCAAGAGCUUGAAACUGUUUGUCCGAGAAGGCUGCUUCCAUGACAUGGUGCGGGCCAAUAUCCCCACCAUUCUCCAAGAAGGACCUGACCAAAUUAUUAGACCAGCCACCCAAUAGCGUCACCCCUGGACGAGGCAAAGCGAUCGAAGGAAAUUCCCAGCACCAAAUAUCCCAAAUCAGAAUGUGAGGCACCGCAUCAUCCCAUACCCUUUGUCCUUAAACAUGGUCCUUAUGGCCUCGUACUGAGUCUCCCAGGCUGCGCUAUCAAAAAAAUCAGAGCCCAUGUUGUAGUUGAAGAUAAAGAGCUUCUGGAUCAUCUGAUCUGGCUUCAAAUUCUCAUUGACAGUCACUUGGAGAAUCAAAUCAAAUACCUUUCGCAAAUGAACUACCAGGCGGCCGUCCAUUCCCAUCGUUGCAGGGUACUGAAUACAGAUGAGGAAGACGAAAUAACAGAGCGUGGUCGUCCCCGGCAGCAGCCGGAAGAGGAGCGGAACUGAUCAGCUUUCCUUUCCAGGCCGGCUCUUCAUUCAGUUCACUCACAAAAAGUCCCAAACUCGCCGUCAAUUCCCUAGCCCCGCCCAUAAUUCUGUUCAUGUUACAUACAGCGAAGCAGUUUCUGAAUUUGCCACCCUCCUUGUGCUUGCGCAGCAAUGCAUUCCACUGAAGCUCAGCCGCUCCCCCAACAUUCGCAUCUUUCAAAUAUCGUAUGAUAAAAUGUGGAAGCAAAGCAUCGGGCUCUAUGACGAAACUUAAAUUGCCUUUGCUUGCUGUUGUUGCUGAGGCUUUCACCUGCUCCAAAUAUUUAAUAUCCACACCCCACCGUCUCGGGUUGAACCUGCCCUGACGCUUAUUGUACUUCUGCAAGGGCGCCAAGAACUCCUUCCUCAGCCGCUCCCACUGAUCAUCCUCCUUUGAUGAUUGGUCUGGUUGUUGCGAUUGCGACACCAAAGAGAAGAGCCGCCUGGCAGUGCUUUCGCUAAGCGCAAUGGCGCGGAUGGCAUGGGCGUCUGUAAAAAUAUAUUUGAUUAUUUUGACUUAAAUUGAAAAGGAUACAAAAGGCCUUUUAUACAGACUCAUUCUCUUGGAAGAGAAUUAACCUAGCCUACAAUUUAGCUAUACAAAAAAGGAAGAUUUUGUACAAAUCAAUUACAGACUUUGUUUCCUAUUCUAAGCUAAGAUAUCAGGGAUCUUGAUAUCAUUGACUUCUCAACACUCCCCCUCAAGUUGGAGAGUGAACGCCGAGAACUCCCAACUUGCGUAUGAUGGAUAAGAAAGCCUCCUUUCCUAAUGCCUUUGUGAAAACAUCUGCAAGCUGGUUUGAAGAGGGAAUGUAUCUUGUGACAACCGAACCAUCUUGUAUCUUGUCUCGAAUAAAAUGACAAUCAAUCUCUAUAUGUCUAGUUCGUUCAUGAAAAACUGGAUUAGCAGCUAUAUGGAGCGCCGCUUUGUUGUCACAAUGUAGCAAGGCCGGUUUUGGGUGAAGCAAACCUAGAUCCUUCAGAAGAUAUUGAAGCCAUGACAGUUCACAACAAGUUCCAGUCAUGGCUCUAUAUUCGGCCUCUGCUGAUGAUAAAGAAACGGUCUUUUGUCUCUUUGACCUCCAAGAGAUCAACGAAGAACCCAAAAAGACGCAAUAACCUGUAGUUGACCUUCGUGUCGUAGGACAUCCUGCCCAGUUUGAAUCACAAUAUGCACUUAAGUUUAAGUUGUUUUGAGAAGAGAAAAACAAACCCUAUCCAGGCGUACUCUUCAAGUAUUUCAGGAUUCGGAGAGCUGCUUCCAUGUGCGGUUGUCGUGGUUCAUGCAUGAAUCGGCUCAACACAUGCACGGGAUAAGUGAUGUCUGGCCUUGUAAUAGUUAAAUAGAUCAAUCGACCAACCAACCUUCUAUACUUUGCCGGAUCUUUAAGCAACUCACCAGUGUUAGAAAGUUUAACAUUCUGCUCCAUAGGAAACUCCACUGGGCGAGCUCCCAAAAGACCACUAUCUUUCAAAAUUUCUAAAGCGUAUUUUCGCUGAGAAAUAAAGAUCCCUUUCUUUGACUGAGAAACCUCUAUUCCCAUAAAGUACUUCAAGUUACCAAGGUCCUUGAUUUUGAAGUGACCAUGAAGAAAUCUUUUAAGAGCAUUAAUUCCUUCAUGAUCAUUGCCAGUGAUCAAAAUAUCGUCAACAUAGAUCAGGAGGGCUAUAAAGGAUUGCCCUUGCUGCCUCGUAAACAAAGAAUAAUCUGCCUUUGAUUGGAUAUAACCAGCGGAUUUAAUUGCUUCUGAAAACUUUGCAAACCAUUGCCGGGACGCUUGUUUCAAGCCGUAGAGGGAUUUAUUAAGGCGACACACGAUAUUCUCCCCCUGUCGCCGAAGACCAGGAGGAAGGGUCAUAUAGAUUUCUUCAUGAAGAUCACCAUGAAGAAAGGCGUUGUGGACAUCAAGUUGGUGGAGAGACCAGUUGCGGGCAGCAGCGAGGGCUAACAAACAACGAACAGUGACCAUCUUAGCAGUAGGGGAGAAGGUAUCGUGAUAAUCAACACCUUCAAGUUGAGUGUAACCCUUGGCUACAAGGCGAGCCUUAUAACGUUCAAUAGAACCAUCAGAACGAUGUUUGAUCUUAUAAACCCAACGACAACCAAUGGGAGUUUUGCCGACAGGGAGAGGAGUGAGUGUCCAAGUAUUAGUGGCCUCCAAAGCACGGAGUUCAGAGUCCAUGGCAGCAUGCCAAUGGGAAUGAAGAGCAGCCUGAGCAUAAGUGUGAGGUUCGACCUGCCGACUGAUAGAAGCAAGGAAAGAUUUUUGUUGAGGUGAGAAACGAUGAUAAGUGAGAAAAUUAGCAAGAGGAUACCUUGUACCGGUGGUAGGACCUGUCGACGAAGAUGAUGAAUCGAUUGGUUGGGUAGAAGGCAAAGUAGGGCAAACAUAAUCACUGAAGCGAGCGGGAGGAGCUGAGCGACGGUCAGAGUGGCGAAGCACGGGUGCAGAGGGCACGGAAGGUGCUGGAGGCACGGGCGCUGGGAGCGCUGAUAUGGCAGGAUCAGGUACAGAGGGAGAUGUAGCAUCAGACGCGGGAGGAAAAGACUCAACAGGUGACACGGGAGAAACAAUGGGUGCGGAAUGAUCAGUGUAGUCAAGAAGGGGUUGAGGUAAGACAGGUCCUGGUUGGUCAUCGGAUGGGGAUUGAUGUUGGUAAGGGAAAAUAUGCUCGUGGAAAAUAACAUCACGGCUUGUAAAAAACUUAUGGGUGGUGAGGUCGUAGAGUUUAUAGGCUUUUUGGCCAACAGGAUACCCUAGAAAAACACACUUAUGAGAAAUGUGAGUAUUUGUGGCAUAGGCAAGACAUCCAAAGACUCGUAAGUGGGAAUAGGUAGGGGAUGUGGAAUAGAAACGUUCAAAAGGUGUAGUGUUGGAAAGAACUUUGGUAGGGAGACGAUUAAUAAGGUGAACUGCUGUGAGCACACAUUCACCCCAAAAACGAAGUGGGAGGUUGGCUUGAAAACGCAAACUACAGGCUGUUUCAAGGAUGUGACGAUGCUUGCGUUCUACAACCCCAUUUUGUUGGGGCGUAUAAACGCAAGAGUGUUGGUAUAUGACACCGUGUUCUUGGAAAAAAUCACGAAGGGAGAAAAACUCACCUCCAUUGUCCACACGGAUUUGACAAACAAGUGUAUUAAAUUGAGUACGAACAUAAGAGAAAAAAUUCUUAAGGAGGUGUUGGGUCUCAUUUUUGUGAUGCAUAAGAAAGAUCCAUGUGAAACGAGAAUAAUCAUCUACUAUAGUCAAAAAAUAUUUGGCUCCACAAGUAGAGGCAAUUUUAUAAGAACCCCAAAUAUCACAAUGAAUUAGAUCAAAAGGUUUCUUGGUUGAAAUGGUACUAACACCAAAAGGUAAACGACUUUGCUUGGCUAAUGGACAAACAUCGCAAGCAUUAUUAGACUGAAAAGGAAAAUGUAACAUGUUUUUGGACAUAAAAUCUAAUCUAGAUGAUGACAAAUGACCUAAACGUCGAUGCCACAACUCUGUAGGUGAUAGAACGAUAUUGCAGAAACGCCUCGAAGUGCCAUCUUGGACAGGAGCCAAUGCCACCAAAUAGUAGAGUCCUCCUCGUUGCUUACCCAAACCAAUCGUCCUCUUCGUGGUCAGGUCCUGCAAAAUACACCAAGUGGGAAAAAAGGUGACGGAACAAUUUAAUCCUCCAGUAAUUCGACUUACUGACAUCAAAUCUACAUUAAAAGUAGGCACACACAACACAUCUCGUAGCAAAAAGGUAGAACUCAAAGGUAAAUCUCCAGUUGAUACAAUAGAUGCUUGUUCUCCACUGGGCAAUAAAACUGGCAGCAUAUUAGUAUUUUUCACACUAUGAGUGAGCAGUUUCGGUGAGGAGGUGAUAUGGUCCGUCGCACCACUAUCGAUAAUCCAUCGAUGGAGAUGCGAAGGAUUUUUUGACAAACCUUUGGUAGUGGUGGCAGCAUUGGCUUGUGGGGCUGCAAAUGCAUCUUUGCCAUUCAUAAUACUGAGAAUUUGUUGAAAUUGAGAAUCUGAUAAACCUGACAUCACAGACUGCAUCUCUUGCACAGAAGGUCCUUCAGAGGAAACUAUGUGAGCUGACGAUGAGCCGGUGUCUCGCUUGGAGCGAUUCCCACCACGGGGAUUGGAUUUGUUGGUUUUAUGAAGACGAUGCCCAGGUGGAUCCAUGCAACUGAUAGCAAGUAUCAAUAGUGUGGUAAUCUUGAUCGCAGUGCGUACAAUGCAUGGGUUUACGAGUGGAAGAGCCUGAGGACUUGGAAUGGUGGCCCUGGCGAACUGCCAUGGCUGCUGUUGCAGUAGUGGUGCGAGAAAGGCUCAAGGAGCGCUGUUUCUCCUCCUGUGAGAUUGAGGAGUAAGCUUGACGUACAGUAGGCAAGGGAUUCAUCAAGAGGAUUUGUCCUCGAACAGCACUAUAUGAAUCAUUGAGUCCCAUAAGGAACUGUAUCAACCUAUUCCUUUCAUUUUGAGCACCACAUGUGCAUGAGGAUGAAUCAUUGUAGGAAGACAACUCGUCCCACAGACUCUUCAACUUGGUAUAGUAGGCUGCAAUAGAAAGUUGAUCUUGAGAAAGACACGAAAUAUCCCGCUGUAAUUGAAAAAUCCGAGGAGCAUUACUUUGGGAGUAUCGCUCUUCCAAUUCGUCCCAAAUCUCAUGAGCACCAGUCAUGUAGAGAAUGUUGUCUGAAAUAUCUGAAUCGAUUGAGUUGAUGAUCCAGGCAACAAUCAUGUCGUUGCAUCUCUUCCAUGCAGCAUGAUCGUUCGGUUGGGUUUUUGCUGGUGGUUGUGGAACAGUGCCGUCAACAAAACCAAUCUUGUUUUUAGCACUCAAGGAAAUCUUCAUGGCUCGGGACCAGGUGGAAUAGUUGUCCCCAUUAAGGGGUUUCGAGACCAGCACCAUAGCUGGGUGGUCUGAAUGAUGAAUGAAUAGUGGAUUGGAAGCAUCAGGCUUGCUUUCGCUCGAAGUUCGAUCAUCGGCCAUGGCUAAUGAUCAACGAAAAAAAAAACACGCUGCUUGUGAUGAACAGCGGCAAAGAGAAACAACAGCAGAAAAAGAACUAGGGUUUCGACCUAGCUCUUGAUACCAUGUAAAAAUAUAUUUGAUUAUUUUGAAUUAAAUUGAAAAGGAUACAAAAGGCCUUUUAUACAGACUCAUUCUCUUGGAAGAGAAUUAACCUAGCCUACAAUUUAGCUAUACAAAAAAGGAAGAUUUUGUACAAAUCAAUUACAGACUUUGUUUCCUAUUCUAAGCUAAGAUAUCAGGGAUCUUGAUAUCAUUGACUUCUCAACAGCGUCGGAGGGGAAUGUGGUGAGGAAACAGUCUGCGGCCUCGGAGACGUAGAGAUCAGCAAAAGCAUCAGCAUCAAUAGGACGUAUAACAGAAUCAUGUUCCCGAGAAUCAUCCUCGUCAUGAUCGUCGUCAUCAGUUAAAUAAUCAGAAGGCUUGAGUUCCAAAUUUGUUCUGCUGCAUCUUUUGAAUAUCGGACUUGAGCCGCUCCACGAAAAUAUCCAUAGCGCGGUCGUGCAAGGACUUGUAAUGCGGAUCGCGGUCGUAUCUCUGGCGGUGUUUCUCCUCCAUCUCCUCCACCUCCGUCUCCUGCUGGUCCUGCGGAAGGAGAAGGCUGUAGAGAAUCUCGACAAUGGCGUACAAUCCCCCGAAAGAGUCAAGGUUAUGCGCCAGAGUUCUGGGGUGGUUGUGGUGGAGCCAAGACGUGGCCGCGGACGAGGCUUCCGGAGAGAAGUGAUUUGUGGAGAGGUUGAAGAUAAGCUUGAGGGUGGUGAGGGGGUUGUGGGACCAGGCGAAUGGGAGCCGUUGCUCGAGAGAGUUGAUGAGGGCAGUGUUAGUGUGGGAAGUACGGGCGGCAGAUGCUGGUGGUGGUCGCACCUUGAAAAAGAUAUCGAGGCACGGGUAGCUGUAGAAGGAGGAGGAGGAGUAGGAGGAAGCCAUAAUCUGAGGCUUAGCGGCGGCGUCAGCCACCUUGGACGCUAUGAAUCUUGUUGCGAGGUGGAUUUGCGGAGGAGGAGCGACACCAACCACCCUUGUCAGUGAAGGAAAAGAAACAAUGCUGCCUGGCCAGAUUCUUCAUCUCUAAAUCUCAAAUUCAAAUUAUGUCCCUCUCCGUUGGGUGGCGGUUGGAGUAGGAAUUGUGGAUCUUUAUUUGUUGGAGAAGAAGAUAUGAGGAUAUAAAUUGGGUCCGGGAGUUGUGCGUGUCAUGUAAUUCUCAUGAUUAUUUAUCCUUGUUUUCCAAGUAAUACGAUUAAUAAUCUAUUAGGAUUUAUAAAAAUCACAGUUUAAUAGAAUUAGGACUGCAACCAUCUUUCACUUUUUAACAAAAAUUACAACAACAAAGCCUUAUUGAUCCUUCUAAAUAAGAAUUUUUUAUUUUAGAAAAAGUAAAUGAUUGUUUGGUUCAGAAGAAUAGUUUUCCUAUUUGUUUGUUUGUAAUUUUCUGUUUCGUUUUACAAAACCAUUUCAUUUAUAAAUAACGUUAAGAGAGCGUGUGAUACUUUUUGAUCCCUCACCUCAGCUGGGUUGAUAAAUAUCUUUAGCUCAAUACGUAAUUAAGAUUGUUUGUUCAAUUUAUUGGAGCUGAGCAGUGUGCCAUUCCUAAUUUCUUUGGUUUACAAUUGUCACGCAGCUCAUGCUGCCAUGGUUCCACGCUUGUUAAACUACUUUUAGUUUGAACAAUGUUUUGCGAAACCCAUUCUGCCAUGGUUCCACGCUUGUUAAACUACUUUUAGUUUGAACAAUGUUUUGCGAAACCCAUUCAUUAAACCACUCUAUUUUAUAUUAAUUCAUAUAUAUAUAUAUAUAGAAAGCAAAUAGCAUAAACGGUUUUACGUGCGUCCACGUUUGCCUAAUUUAUUUAUCUAAGAGGCAAAACGUUUUUACGUGCAUCCACAUUCGCCUAAUUUAAAAUAUUUAAAAUAGCACUCUUACUUAAUGCUGCUUGCUUCAGCACUUCUUCCUUCUCUUCUCUAGAGUGACCUAAUGCUCCUUGAGCACUUUUUCCUUUUCUGGAGUAACCUCUAUCCCCACCCUCUACUUCCCUUUUGAAAUUGCCAGAGUUAUCAUCAUUUAUUAAAAAUUCCACUUUCCAACCAUGCUCCUCAGAAGAGGCAAGCUUGCAGAGGGCUUCUGCAUCUUGGAAAUCUUCAACAACAACUCUCCUAUGGCUCUGUAGCUCCUCCCCGUCUCUUAGAAAAGCCGCCUUCUUCGCAUGGAAGUUUUCUAGCUUUUCAGAGUCAACAUUUUGGUUAUUACUUUCGAGGCUUCUCACCUCUCUCUUCAGGGGAAGGUAAUCAUUUUGUUUGUUUGAUUUCUUUCUAAUAUUCAAAUAAUUAUUGUUGUGUAAUCCUGAUAGCAUUGUUGCUGCAGCUUGAAUAGAUAUGUACCAGAGCAUGUGAGAUGCUCUUGCGCAGCAGUAUGGUGGCUCUGCAGCUCACAACACUGUAUGUUCUUAUUUUAUUCUUGGGUUAGAGCAUGUAUAUAUUAUCAGUUGGUAGAUGUCAUAGAUCAACCCCUAUAUUCUAACGUAAAGUAAAAAAAGAAGAAAAACUCUAACUCUAAUCAGAUGUCCACUGAAAAGAAAACAAAUCACAUUACAGAUCAAUACCUUUUUGCAAUCUUCUUGACAACAACAACUUAUCUGGGUAUCUUCUGCCAGGGUUCUCGGAGUUGCCAAGCUUAUUAAUGCUGUAUGUUUUCUUACUUCGGAACAUAAAUUUGUGCCUUAAUUAUGUUUUCAUCCUUUCCUUUCUUGCAUUUUCGUACCGUUGGGAACAAUUCUUUAGACUUUCCUUUUUCUACAACAUAAUUUGAGGGAUAUCAAGUUUCUUAGCCCUAUAAUCUUAUUUGUUUUGCAGUCAAGUUGACAACAACAACUUUGGUGGGAUUACAAUUCCAGAUUCGUAUAGCAACAUGUCUAAACUGUUCAAGUUGUAAGUGCUGCUUAUGAUUCUAUGUCUUUUGGUAAGUUGUAAGAGCUUUAAAUCUCCAUUUUUUCAUACAUCAGAUUUAAAGCUCCAACUACGGAGGUGUAAAUCCAAAAGAUUUGUGAUUAACCAUAGCAACAAUAGAGGGAAUCAUAGUUUUUGUUGGGAAACACAUUUCCAACCACUGUGCAGGGAACAUCUCCCGUUUCUAUCUGAUGUUAUAUCACAUUAGGUGAUGGUGCUAGUUGUUUGGAAUGACAAUCGAGAAGUAGCUCUUAAUAUUUAACACAACGAAUCAUGUCAACAUUGAAUAUCUUUGUGUUUUUGUUGAUUCUUUCAGGAGUUUGAGGAACUGCAACUUACAAGGGCCUAUUCCUAAUUUCAAUAGGUUUCCAAACCUUGGUUAUGCAUAGGUUCAAGUUUAAUUGUGUAAUAAAUGGAGAGAUUGAUCGCCGUCACUCAUAGCUGCGUUUCAGGAAACAAGUUUAUCUCUUGCCAAUUUUGUGUACCCACUUUUUAUUCAUGAUGGUUAGUGCUCGCUUGCAACCCAAUUAGCUGCUAUAAAGUUUUGCGUUUUACAAUCGGUUCAUGCUUAAACCUCUUCCAAUUUUGCAAUUCUGUGUAAAUCUUGCAGGUCAAGAUGGGACACAUAUCUGGGCAAUGUUGGGAUGUCUAGGCUUGGGUGGAGACGUGGACUUAUAAAAGUGGUGAAGUAGCUUAGCUCUAUCUCAUUAGCUCUCAUCUGUUCUGUUUAAAGCUCAUUGGUGCUGGCUCUGAGAUUUUUCGAAACUCUCCGUUUUCGAAAUCUGAAGCUUAGAAUCCCAUUCAACCACAAGGAACUAGAAUAAUUGGAAAAAAAAAUGUUUUGGCGUCCAAAAAGAAGCAUGUGCAAUCCUCUAAUUUUAUUAAUAUAAAAGAAGUGAUGCAAAUCCAGUAAAGAUGUAAAUAAGAGCUAUUAGUGGGGAAAAAAUAGUUGUGUUUGUACCAUACUUAGGGCCUCCAUAUUUAGAUCUCGUAUAAAUACUCGGGAGAUUCAAAUGUAAUUAUGUAAUAAAGGAAGGGGCAAAUAUGUAAUAAAUGAGGAGCCCUUAUUCUAUAAAAUGACCUCUCACUCUCCUCAUUAAGGAGGCCAAUUCCUAGGCCAUGAGAAGCCUCCUCACAUCCCCUAAGCUCUAAGCUCUCUCAAAGCUCUCACUCUCAUAUUCAGAGCUCUCUCUCCCUCAGAAAUACAAUAUCAGUGUGGACGUAGCCUAAACCUUGGGGUGAACCACGAUACAUCUUGUGUUAUUUACUUUCUUGCAGAUUCACGGUCAGAUUUACGUUGUUCCAAGACCCUUCCGGUUUUGUGCAUCAACAUUUGGCGCCGUCUGUGGGAAACGACACGAAAAACUAUGUCGGUUCUCUUUCAUUUUUUCACCUUCACCAUGAAUCUGCAUAAUCUGCAAAAUCUACAAAAACCCAUGAACCCAAAGCUUUCCUAAAAAAACCCAGAAACAGAAAAAAAUUCAAUCUUUCUUCUCUCUCUUUGCAUUUCACUCUCAAAUCUCCAUUUCUGAGUUUCGAAAAUGCAGAUGCUUUCCCGACAUUGGGUACCUUUCUCCAACUGCUCUCAGGUUACAGCCGUUGAUCCGCGACCCGAAAACCGGCGGAGCCCCACCAUUCUCCGAAUUCUCAUUCGCCGGCCGAUCGAACCGCAACUCGAGCUCACUGACUCGGUCACUCAGGCUCUGCAGGAACAACUCACCCCCGAGCCUCUCGACUCACUGAAUCAUCCCGUACGAAAGAAGCGACGGUGUUUUGAUUGGGGUCGGACUCAACAGCUCCGCAUCUUCUUCAUUCCAACUCUCUCAACGUCUCACUUAUAAUCCAGUCUCCAGCAAGCUAGCAAGCCCCAUAGUCGACCCACUACUCGAAACACCGUCGUUCUGUAGCGAAACAGCACCCAGCGUUCAAAUCGACAAUGAUGGUUGAUCGUUUGUUCGAGGACAUAUUUCAGAUUCUGCGAUUGAACCCAGAUGGCGAAAAGUUCGAUAAAGUUACUCGAGUAGAAGCAAAGAGUGAGACUUGCGAGAUGUUCAUGCACCUGGAUGUGAAUUCAGAGGUUUAUCUGAUGAGGGAAGGGCAAUCGCAAGACAUUGGCUGACGAAUAUGAGUAUGUCAUGCAAUGGAAGCUUUUUAAGAUUUCAGAGGGUUCUAAACGUGAUCCAAAAGCCAGUGCCAGCACAACAUCACCAUCGUCGAUUGCCAGCCCUCUGGCCCCUCCGGCGGCAUGCUCGCCUUCGUUAACGGCAAUCUCCAGCUCACCAACGAACAACACGCUCUCAAGUCCAGCCAGAUAGAGACAGAGACUGAAUGAGAAUGGUGCAGUGGAAAGAGAGGAUCGAAGGUGGUAAGCUACACGUGAGGGAAGUGAGCAUGCAUGUGGAGGCCAACGAGGAUAAUCAUGGGGGAACACAUGGGGGACAAUGCAAAAGAGAAAGAGAAAGAAAAAGAAAAGGGAGACCACCAGUAAAGCUACAGAAAAAAAAAAGUAGAAAAGAGAAAGUAAAAGCAAAAGAAAGCAGAAAAGGAAAAGCCGAAAAGAAGAUGCUCCACUAUUCCACUAUCCCACAUGAUAACAUGAUUAAAGAUAAGAAGAUGCCUACCAAGGUUCCCCGUCUCCACUUUCUGUUGGACCAGAAUAUGCCCAUCAACAUGCUGAAAACAUGUAAUUUAUUUUUCUUAUCUUUCGGAGACAUCUAUAUAAACCCCAUCAGAGGGUAAUAAUAAUAAUAAAAAAAAAUAGCAAAGCCCAAAAUAAAUGGGCUGGAAUGUUGUGUGGAGGGCGAAGGUCCAUAAGCUCAAAAUAGCACCAACCAGGUGACCAAAAGUACGCCCAGUACUACAAAAAAUUAUUUGGCACCCUGCCGCUAUUAUCGCCAACCAGGUGAUCAAAAAUACGCCCAGUACUUCAAAAUUUAUUCGGCACCCUGCCGCUAUUAUAACCAACCAGGUAAUUAAAAGUACGCCCAAUACUUCCAAAUUUAUUCGGCACUCUGCCGCUAUUAUCACCAACCAGGUGAUUAAAAGUACGCUCAGUACUCCAAAAUUAUACAUGAGCAUCACUCAUGUCAUUCAUACAUAAACAUUCAUGAGCAUCACUCAUGACAAUCAUACAUAAACAUUCAUCACCAUGAUUCAUGUCAACAUUCAUGAGCAUCAUUCAUGUCAACAUUCAUGAGCAUCACUCAUGUCAACAUCUAUGAGCAUUACUCAUGUCAAUCAACAUAAACAUUCAUGAGCAUCACUCAUGUCAAUCUAGCUUCAAAAGCUUCAUUUACAUAGCUCUAGCUUCAAAAGCUUCAUUUACAGAGCUCUAGCUUCAAAGCUUCACUUCAAAGCUUCACCUAAAAAGCUUCAGUGCAGGGUAUACAAAUACCGCAUUCGAACAACCGCCACUUCGACCUAUACAUGGAUUCGAUUUGAAGUCUCCAGCCAACAUACUCUAUUGAUCGAAGACUUGGGGGACUACAUUAUGUACCAUACAUUGGGCCUCAAUUGGGUCUCAUGAAAAAUACUUGGGGAACUCUAGCCCAUUAUGUAUUGAGGAGCGAUCCCUUAUUUUAUAAAAAUGACUCCCUCACUUUCAUUAGAGAGCGCCUAUUAUUCAUGUACUGAGGAGCGAGCCCUUAUUUUAUAAAAGGGACUCCCUCACCUUCAUUAGAAGAGCAUCGUCGCCAGCUGAGCAACCGCCUCGUCGCGAGCAUCACUCUUAACCCAUCACUUAUGUAUUGAGGAGCGAGCCCUUAUUCUAUAAAAGUGACUUCCUCACUAUCAUUAGAGAGUAUCGCCGCCUGCUGAGCAACCGUCUCGCCGCGAGCACCAACUCUAACCCAUCAUUUUUUUUAUUGAAGAGUGAGCCCUUAUUCUAUAAAAGGGACUCCCUUACCUUCGACACCACAAGCCAAACCAACCAAGGCAACAUAAGCCACAAGCCGAGCAGCCUCGCAACAUGUGCUACUUCUAGUUGAGCAUUAUUUCAAAUUGAGCACCGCCUCAUAUCGAGUAUCAGUCCUAGAUGACAUCUAGUUACUUCGGCUCAUACAUGGACUGAGUUUCAAGUCUCCAGCCAAAAGACUCUCUUGACUGAAGACUUGGGGGACUACUGUUUGUACCAUACUUAGGGCUUCCGUAUUUAGAUAUCGUAUAAAUACUCGAGAGACUCAAAUGUAAUUAUGUAAUAAAGGAAUGGGCAAAUCUGUAAUAAGCGAUGAGCCAUUAUUCUAUAAAAGAACCCUUCACUCUCCUCAUUAAGGAGGCCAAUUCCUAGGCCAUGAGAAGCCUCCUCACAUCCCCUAAGCUCUAAGCUCUCUCAAAGCUCUCAUUCUCAUAUUCAGAGCUCUCUCCCCCUCAGAAAUACAAUAUUAGUGUGGACGUAGCCCAAACCUUAGGGUGAACCACAAUACAUCUUGUGUUAUUUACUUUCUUGCAGAUUCACGGUCGGAUUUACGUUGUUCCAAGACCUCUCCAGUUUUGUGCAUCAACAAGUAGUAUAAUUCCAGGCCUUGAAGAAGGCUACAAAGUAUAUGGGAAUAACGUAUCUAUGUAGUGUUUAUGUUUGUUCAUUUCUCCCUUGCGGUUUUUUAUGCCUGUUAAUGCUUGAACAAUGAUGCAAGUCAAUCAAGCAGAUAAGAUUCAGAAAGAAAACUCCACAUCUGUUGCCAGCAAUGCUCAUGGGGAGAAGUAUAGGAAACCAAAGCCUACAAAUCUGAAGCCUUUUAGGUUUAGAAUUGAUGUAUGUGAAACCUGUUGUGACCAAUUUCUUUAAUAAGUAUUAGUAGCGUUGAUGCUUAAUAUGAUAUGUUUUGGCUUUUUUUUUUUUAGGAAAGAGGGAUGUUGAAGGAAGCAACUUUGGAGAAAAAAACUCAUGCACCACUGAAGGAGAUCACAUUAGUCAGGACUCCAGGGGCAAAGUAAACAAGCAAACAUCAGAAUGUUAUACAGGUAUACUUAGGAGCUACAAGUGCUUUGUGUGUGGUUUGAAUCUGAACAAUUACAUUGUGUAUCAUCGUCAUAUAGGCAAAUUUGUUAUGUGUGAUGGUGUAUUUACGCAUGACUGAAAUGGAUGAUCUAAUUUUAUGCAAUUUAUAAUUUUGGGUUUCUCUAAUUUUUUUUUUUUUUUUUGUGAUUUAUUUGAUGAAAGUUUCAAUCUUCAGGUACAUUUUUCAUAUAUGUACUCAUCAAAUGUCACGAUUACUGUUCCUUUGGUUUUUUGGGCUACAAAUUAAAUUUUGGGGUUGUUCAAAUUUGUUUAAUUUGGUCCAAGAUUAAUCGAUUUGAUGUUCUAGGUUCUUUGCAGGCAAAACAUUGGAGCAGUUGGUCAUAUUUGGAAGAGCAAACGAGGAUGGAGUUCUUGGUGUUGCAUGAAGUUGAUGUGUAUCAGAUGGACAUCCAUCAUGUCUUCAAUGGAAGAAAUUUGAUGUCACCAUCUUCAGCUUUCCUCAUGCAAACCAUUACUCUUAGCUAAGUGAAAAAUACUCGGACCUUAUUGAGUAAGUCACUAUUCAUUUCAUUUAAAUGCUGAUUAUGAUAGUAUGUGUAAAUUGUAAAUAUAUUGUACAUAAAAUUUUCAAUUCCGCAGCAAUGCGCGGGCACCAUUGCUAAUAUAUACUAAAAGAGAAAAAUGUGGUACUGUAGAAGUAACAGUGUUAUUCCAUUUCUACCCUUCAAUUGCUAUGUAAAUUUAGCUUUUUGUGUGUAUUAUAGAGUAAAAUGACAUUUUUGUCCAUGCUGGGCAAUAGAAAUCUCUCCAUUUCUUCAGACCCCGCACUCAGCUUUCGCCAUCUCUCUUCCAUCUCUGCUUCGCGCUCUUCAAUCUUUUUGCUUUGUCAUCUCUUCCUCCGUGAUUUCUUCACCAGCAACUUUGCUCAAGAUCUUUCCAAUUGAAAAAACCCAGAUCAUCAUCAUCUAUUCCUCAUCACCACAGGUACCUUCUACACCUAUUACAUGUCAAAAUCUGCUUCGUGUUCUCUUCAUGUUUUAGUUCCUUUUCACUGCUUUUGGUUGAUUUUUAUUCCCAUUUCUUUUCGAUCUCUUCUUUCGUAGCCGUCUGCUCUCUCUUCUUUCUUCGCCUCUGUUGGUCUCAAAGUGGAUAGUUUUGCGAUGAGUUGUUCUAAUCUUGCAUCUACAACUUUUUUAUGCAACUGUAUGGAUUGUGUUCUGUUCAAUUUUAGAUGUUAGAAGCUUUUAAUUUUUUAGGUUCAAUUUUAAAUGGGUUGUUGCUUUCGGAGUUUUCGUUUGAUGACAGAGAUGGGGUUUUUUGGGGAGAAACUUUUAAUAUUUUCCCCCCUUUUAAGCAGCAGACUUCAAAUCUUUGUCCAUUCCCAUUUUAUCGAAAAAACAGUUCAUAAAGUUUCAAUUUUUAUCAGAGAAAAGAGAGAGAGAUGAGAGAAAUCAUAAGCAUUCAUAUUGAGCAUGCUGGAAUUCAUGUGGGCAAUUCAUGCUGGGAGCUCUACUGCCUCGAGCAUGGAAUUCAACCUGAUGGGCAGGUGCCCAUGUAGGUUUUUGUAUAUCUCCAUCGAUAUUUCUAUUUAUAUAUGCACUUUUUUUGGGUUUUUUAUUUAUUUUGGUGGGUGUGUUUCUCAAAUGGUAGUGCCUUCGUCCAUGAGCGGUAGGUCUCGGGUUUGAGACUUGGGAGCAGCCUCUCCAUAAAUGGGGGUAAGGCUAGCCGACAUUCACCUCUCCCAGACCCUGCGUAAAGCGGGAGUUUUGUGCACUGGGUACGACCUUUUAGUCGAUGGUGAAACUAAAAGUUACCAUAAAAGAAAUAGCAUUGAUUUUGCUUGAAUCUGACUGAUCGGAUGCAUUUGCUUUCUUUGCAAGGUUGUUGAAAUUGAUACGUCCCAAGUCUGGUGAGAUUAGAGAUAGUAUCAAGGAACUGAAUAUGAUGUAACAACACAUCCAUUGCAGGUCACUGAAGCUGAUAUUGAACAUUGCCGAUUCAUCAGAACCUAUAUUCUUCUGCGUUUCCUCAAAAUCCAAGGUACGGACUUCACCAAGCCGUAAGUUAUUGGGAUUUUUUUAUUUUGGUUUUGGAUUAGUAAUUUUUUGCUCGGUAGCUGAGAAAAUGUUAUCCCGUGUUUUAGGUCUUGUGUUUUUGUGAUUUUGGGUUCGUAGGUUUUUCAGAUUUUGGGAGUUUGUUUGUAGGCUGCAAAAUCCUCUGUUCUCAAGGUAAGUAAUUUAAAAUUCUGGGAUUAUUCAAUUGAAAGUUUCAAUUUAUAGUUUAGUUUAGUUUAGUUAUUUUAUAAUUAUACAAUAAUUUUAAGUCUCAAGGUGAGUAAAGUCAUAUCAAAUUCAGAGCAGAAAACAACAAAUGUAAAACAAAAACAGAAAUUAUGCAAUAAAUCCAUCUAAAAUUCAGCAAAACGAAGUUCAAGAAACAAACUUUUCAUCUUAAUAUGUUGAAAAGGAAGAGAAUUGCACCUCCCGAGAACACAAACAAACAAACUCUGCAGUAAAGAAACCGGCAGCCAAGUUUGAGUCUUUAACUGAUGCUAUAGAACCCACCAAACAGAAAAACUAACAAAUGGAAGGGGGGAGAGAGAGAGAGAAAGAGAGCCAAAGUUUGAGUCUUUAACUGAUGCUGCAAAACCCACCAAGCAGAAAAGCUCACAAAUGGAAGGAGAGAGAGAGGGAGAGAGACAAAGUUCAAAUGAAUAGUGAAAUGAGGUACAUUUUCCUAGUGAGAUAAGUAAAAGUAUUAAUUAACGUAUUUAUAUUUUAUUAGUAAGAUAAGUAAACUAAGAAUUGUAUAUAUACUAAUAGUUCUGUCUAUUUUUUUCCCCUCUUAUGUUUUGCCUACUCAUAUUCAUCAAUAUGUUAUUCUCUCUUCCAAGGUUCAUGCAUAUUUCUUCUUUUUUUUCAUCAGUUACUUUUUUUUAGAUACAUUUUAUUCUCUGUUUUGUGACUACGGGACAGAGGUUCAGGGCCGAAGGGGUAGAGGAAGACCUAGGAAAACUUUGGAAGAGACCCUAAGAAAAGACUUGAGUACUUGGAUCUAACGGAGGACAUGACACAAAACCGAGCGCAAUGGCGUUCUAGGAUUCAUAUAGCCGACCCCACUUAGUGGGAAAAGGCUUUGUUGUUGUUGUUGUUGUUGUUGUACAUUUUAUUCUCUGUUUUAAAUUAUUGUAUUCAAGGUUCACUUUGUUAUAUUGACUCUGAAAUUCGAACACAAGUUUCUAAAAUAUAAUAUUCUUUUGAACUUUCCAUAUUUCUGAGUAUGCACCGCAUUGAUUAAGGUUUUUUAAAUUCAAGGCCACGAUGUUUGCAUGCCCACAAUCAUGUGAAUUGAGGCUGAAACUGAUAUAAAGUUUGAUAAGAGCAUUUCAACCAUUUAAAUUAGUUUUCUAAUCACAUUAGUUACUUUGUCAAAAGAAAAGAAAAAAGAGCAUCUCUUUCAUCAAUCAUACUUGACAUGCAUCUUAGUGUACAUACAGUUCUCAGUUUUCUGUCUUCCUUUAUUCUUUUAAUUUUUGUGUGUGUAUGUAUUUAACUAUGCAUACACACAGAUCUUGGAUAAAGCAAAGUUCUAGAUGUUUUUUAAUUCUAAUAAACUGAUUAGAAGAAUAAACGUUCAACUUGACUAAGUCUGUUGAUAUUAUCGUAUUAGUGGGAAUUAUAUGGUUGGAAAUAUUGUGUAUAUUUUUAUGCAUAGGCUUGAUAAAAUAAAUCCCGCACUUUUUGCUGCGAUCAAUUUUUCGUUUUUUGAUUUGGUGAAUUCUUGCAUUGUUUUCCAAUGAAGAGGAUUCGAGCAUUAAUAUUGUCAGUAAUGGUGAGACUACUGGUUUUCCAGUCACCCCACAUAAUGAGCAGCUGAGUUGUGCAUCUCCAAGCAAGAAAAGGCUGGAUGCUAUUAGUGAUUCUGCCAAAGAAUCAAAACAAAGUGGUAGGUAUUUACAUUUCCAUGUAUAGGAUUUUGUGGAUUUUAUGAAAUAUAUUGUUUGUUCUUCUCUGAGCGUUGAGUUUUAUAUAUCAACCUCCUUACUUUUAUUUUUCUUCAACAUUCAUGUGCAUCAUUUAGAGGUCGCACUUGGUGUGAUGGCAAGUGCCUUCGCCCAUGAGCGGUAGGUCUCGGGUUUGAGACUUGGGAGCAGCCUCUCCAUAAAUGGGGGUAAGGCUAGCCGACAUUCACCUCUCCCAGACCCUGCAUAAAGCGGGAGCCUUGUGCACUGGGUACGACCUUUAUUCAUGUGCAUCAUUUGACUAUUUGGACUUUGGACUAAAUUGUUGAAGCUGAUUUUGUCAUGGAUACCAUGUGCAGUUUUUAUUAUGGAUACUCACACAUUCGAGAUGUAUACCAGCUCAUUGAACAAGAGGACAUCUAGCAGUCCAAAGAAGCUCUCUCGGUGCAGCAUACACUUUCCUCAAUCAAAUUUUGACAAGGAGGAUCCAGUGAACAAUGGAAUUGGUGAUGAUCCAAAGAGUUAAACUGGUUUAAUUCUACUGAAAAUUGUGUGUUGAUGAUUGCUUCAGUCAAAUUCGAUAUUUUCGGUAGACUAGAGAUGGCUGCUAGAAAAUGUAUGACUGUUCUCUAAUCUAAAAUACACUUCUCAGAUUGCUGUGGUUACUGGUUUGAAUUUUCCUUAUUUACCUUGGUGCCUUUUAACUUUUGAGGUGAAAUUUGUUACGCGACUUCAUUACUUGCAAAAUUUUGUUGAGUCAACAUUCAAUGCCCUUCCUUCGAAUCAAGUUAAAGGUAGGAUCGUACUCGGAGAAGUUUGUGAGGGGCCAAUGGGACAAGGAUUGCAAAAAUACAAGGCUUGCCUCUCAGUGCGUUUCAGACUUACCCUCCUAAAUUUUCUUCCAAAUCACAAUUUAUAUGAUUAAUUUACUGAUUCUUUUUUCGGGAUUUGAGUUUUUGUCUCCUGAUUAUUUUUUGCAGAGAUUGUAUUAAUUUCCCUUUGACUGGAAAUUUGGGGUUUCUUUAGGUAUAAUGUUAUCAAAUUUUAUUUUUCCAAUUUUCUGAUUUUGGAGUUUUGCAGGGAGUGAUAUAUACUAAUUUUUUGGGAUUGUUGGUCUUUGCAGGGUUUUCGCUCGCCAGACAAUGAUAGGUGAAUCACGGCAAGCAACAACAAUUAUGCUGCAAACUGAAUCCAAGAUGACUAACCUGGAGUCUUCAUGGUGGUCGCACCUCUCCUCAUCUUUGCUCCUCCUCCGAAACCCCUCUGUAGGUUUCCGAACUUAAAUUGUAUUUGCUCUCUCUUUCUGCCCUUUAGAAGGGUUUCGGAAAAAUAAUUUUUUUUUUUUUUUACUAUAAUUUUGGUUUUGAUGAUAAAAUUUGGAUUUGCCCAUUUGGGGAUUUUCAAGUUCAGGACCUAGGAAACAAGUAGCAAUGCAGAGGCACUGUUGGAGAGAUUGUGGACCUCUGUUAAAUCACAGUCUAGUGAAGGGAUUAGCCCGUCUAACUUUGUGUUUUAGAUGAAUCCGUUUCGGAUAAGGGAAAAUUCAAACCCAUAAAAAGUUGGGUUUCCUGGUGAGUUGUCCGGCAGAUUUCAGGUGGCUAAUUUCGUGAUUACAAUUAAUUUUGCCUCAUGACAUUGUGGUAUGCUAUCGAAUCUAAUUGGCGAUUUUUUUGUAUGGUUUUUGUGUGGAUGCAGGUCACCAAUGAACAGGUUGAUCACAUCUUGAGUUUUUUGAUUGAUUUAUUCAAUUCUAUCAGUUUUUAUUCUGACCCUCCAUAACAUUUGCAGCACCAUUUGCCUUGCUCCCAUCACAGCUUGGCUUUCAGUUCCUCAGGUAAAGUUUCCACCUUUUUUUCUUCAGGAAAAUAACAAAGAUUCCAAAUUUAUUGAACUAUUUAGUGAUUUUCUGUUGAGUUUCUUCUUAAAAUUUUUAAUUAAAAUUUUUUGAAUUGAAAUGGGGGGAAUGGUGGAUGUGAGAGUCUCUUUUACAACAAUUCAAAGGGAAGAGCUUGAGAGACAGUGGACUCUUCCCCUAUUCCUCCACAUUCCCUUUUACCAAUUUCCAAGAACACAUUAAAUUCCCUCAAAAUAUAAACCGAGGUCUGGAAAAGCUUUGAAUUCCUUGGUUUCCUCCAAUUAGUAUGCAGAACUCUCAAAAAAUAAAGAAGUGAGGGUUGAAUGUCUACCCUCAUAUAUACACAGAGAGAUAUGGAAAAAAUUAGAAUGGUGAAGUGAGGGUUCAAUGACUUAUUUGGUUCUAUUUAAAUAAAGUUCGCUGAUUAGGUUGAUUUGUGUUGUGUACAUACACUUCUUGGCUUUAUUUCUGUUUGAUGGACUUAUUUGUUUCUGUAUCGGUUGCUGACAGAAUGGAUAGGGUGCCAGAAAGAAAGUUUUUGAUAGAAUUAGAGUUUGAUCUCUUCAUUUGGGUUGUGCAUAUUUCGUUUGAUCUCUUACUUGGGUGUAGAUUUCGUUUGAAUUAAUUUGGGUUGCCAUUCGUAAUUCUUUGUUUUUCACUCAAACAUUAUUUAUGAAAAUUGAAGCUAUAAAAUAUUUCAUAUGAUUUUCAAUCCCGUAGCAUCGCACGGGUACAAAUUUCUAGCAACAUCUUAGGAAGGCUGCAAACAAAAAGAAAAAAUCGAAUAUUUAUCCAAAAUGAGUAUGAAACGUUCCAAAAUAUUCCGGUUUUUUAUAUUUAUUUACAAAAAUUAUGUUUUGCAGUCAAGUUUUGUAUUUUAAUGUUAAUUUGGAAUGCACUUUCUUUAUUUUUUUUUAUGUUAAUCAUACACUUAUAUAUUAAAAAAUCAAGCAUAUAUGACAAAAUAAACUGGAUUUAUAUAUAAGCAUAUACAGUAUACCAAAUAUUGGGAAAUAACAAUAAAUUUGUAAGCACGAAAGUGUUCAAGAAUAUCUAAAAACUUGUAAAAGAAAUGAAUUUCUAAAUCAUGUUUCAAAAUUUCUGAGAUUACUACGAAUUGAAAUAUUUUUAAACUUUCGAAUUUAAAAAUUGUGAUCCGAUCUGAUUUAAUUCUACAAUUUAAAAAAAAAUGAAAACGUUGUGUUUCCAAUUCGUCUAUCUGACAAUCAUCUCCAACUGAUUGUACCGGAUCAAAUUGCCCAAUAACACAGUCAAUUAACUUUCCAGAGGGAAACUGAAAUACCUCUGCGAGUCUUCCCAACCCUCAGAAUGGUAGACUGCUAUAACGAAAUCACCAACUGAUUCCCUUUUAAAAAAAUUAAAUAAAAUUAUCUUUCUAGGGCUUGGAGCUGAACUCAUCUAUGCGAACUCUCUAUUUUUAAAAUUCGAACGUAAGAUCUUUAAUUUACAAAUGAAGAAGAAUACCACUAGACUGUAGUACUAAGGUCUUGUUAUAAUGCAUUACAUUCUCUAAUGUUCAUUUACCAUAAAUGUAUCGUGUUUGCAUCGUAUGAAAUAAUCCUAAACUUAAUCCCAAUUUAUUAACCACCAAUACCUAUAAUUUAUCAUGCAAAAUCUUAUCGUUUAUUGCGCUGUAUAUUACUAUCACAUCAACUUCUGACUUAGAUGCAUUCAAUCCACGAAAUUCACUUUGAAAUUUGAAGAUUAAUUUGGUACAUGAAAUAAUUUAUCAAACAAAGAUUCAGUAAAAAGUGACUACAAAUACAACCAAAGGGUAAAUAAUGUAUGAGGAUCAAUACAUGCUAAAAUACACCUUGUAUACAGUCAGAGGAAAGAAUCCACUAGACCAUAGUAUGACAUGUAUUUAUUAAAAUCCACAAAAAUUCACUUGACUCAUUCAAUUUCUUCCUACCUGCUACCACUAUUUAUUUUCAUUUCCAAAUUUUCAUGAUGCCAAACGAUCGUAUUAGAAAACCUAAUUGGUCAAUGAUGAAGUUAAAAGGGAGUUGUGGUGAAAGUUGUUGACAAGAAUGGGUUGGUUGUGUUAUUUUUUAUUAUUUAUCGGAAUUUAAAUUUAGAGGCUAAAUGCUCAUAAGUUGAGAAUUAAAUCUUCAAAAUGAGUUAGGUGCCAAUCACAUAAGGCUAAAUUAAAGGGCAAUAUGAAAAACUAAAUGAGAAAAUUGUAGCAAUAAUCUCUCAACUUUAACUUUAAUAGGAGAAAUGAUCCCUCAACUUUAGCCCAAUUGAAACAAUAGCUCCUCAACUUUAACCCAAUUUUAGUAAUGUUCUUCAAAUAUGGCUCAUUUUGACGGAAGUUCUGACAGAGUUGACGAAAAGAACCAUAGUUAUACGUUUUGGUGAGUUAAGGGACAAAUAGUAACAUAUUUUUAAUUGAGAGAGCAUCGCUCCAAUUGGAUUAAAGUUGCGGUACCAUUAUAACUCAAAUGAGAUAAACCAUAGCAGUAAAAGCAAUUUACAUUGUAACAGCAUCGUCGUCAUCCUGUCGAUGUUGAGAUUUUGUUUGAACUGUUUAAUUUGAUAUGCAGAUAAAAGUCUCUUUGAAUUGCAGAUUUGAAUGGCACAAAAUAAUAAGUAGGUGAUUAACUAACUUGUAACUAAUCAAGCUGAUAUGACGGUAAGUACCAGAAAGAAAAAACACGAUGAACCAACUCCGGAGUUGAGCACAAGUUCACAAACACAACAGACUCGUAUUCUAAAUCCCAUUGCAGCUGAGCAAUAUAUAGAAUUAUCCGAAGAUCGCUUAACCGUAGCAAGAGCACUCUCAGGGAACAAUCUCAUUCGUUUUUCUCUGUCCAUUUCUAUCUCUUUCUCUUGUAUUACUUCUAGCUAGAACUGCAUGCGGAAAAUAUGGGAAAGCAUCUCUUGAUGUAUUUAACUAGAAAAGUUGUGAUGCUUCCACAUUCUCAAGUGAUUUAGACCCUUUUGUAGGUACAUCUAAUUCCCGUUCCGUUCGAAGAUCGAAGGGAAGCUAUACGAAACAAAUGGCAAUGGCUUCGUUUCCUCUGAAUGAAUGAGCUUAAUUAAAAACUGAAUAACAAAUGGCGAAGGCUUCCUUAAUUAAUUUGGUCCAAACUUGAAACAAAGAAAGGAAUAACAUCCCUAACUAAAAGAUUAUACGUAAAAUUAAAAACUGAAUAAGCUUAAUUUCAGUAAAUGAAUCCCAAAUACAUAAUAUACCAAAUAGUUUUCAAAUUCGGAGCAGAAAAUACUGGUAGCUAGCGAGCAAAGAAACAACUAAGAGGGAGAGAUCAGGAAUUUUUGUCAAGUACAAGAUGAUGAAUGCGAACGGAACAUAGAGCAUCAACCCAAUGACAAUGCCAAGUUGCCAACGGAGUCCACGAUGAGCAAGUGAGCAAAUCAGUCCACAACAGCUAGAGCUUGAAACUGUUCGUCCGAGAAGGCUGCUUCCAUGACAUGGUGCGGGCCAAUAUCCCCACCAUUCUCCAAGAAGGACCUGACCAAAUUAUUAGACCUGCCACGCAAUAGCGUCACCCCUGGACAAGGCAAAGCGAUUGAAGGCAAUUCCCGGCACCAAAUAUCCCAAAACAGAAUGUGAGGCACCGCAUCAUCCCCAUACCCUUUGUCCUUAAACAUGGUCCUUAUGGCCUCGUACUGAGUCUCCCAGGCCGCGCCAUCAAAAAAAUCAGGGCCCAUGUCGUCGUCGAAGAUAAAGAGCUUCUGGAUCAUCUGAUCUGGCUUCAAAUUCUCAUUGACAGUCACUUGGAGAAUCAAAUCAAACACCUUUUGCAAAUGAACUACCAGGCAGCCAUCCAUUCCCUUCAAAAAAGAUAAUUUGGACCUUAGGCCAUCGUUGCGGGGUACUGAAUACAGAUGAGGAAGACGAAAACAAAAUAACAGAGCGUGGUCGUCCCCGGCAGCAGCAGGAAGAGGAGCGGAACUGAUCAGCUUUCCUUUCCAGGCUGGCUCUUCAUUCAGUUCACUCACAAAAAGUCCCAAACUCGCAAUCAAUUCCCUAGCCCCGCCCAUAAUGUUAGGAAUGUCGGUACUACAAGAUAGAGAAUGCAUAAGGUAAAGUAGAAAAUGGACACCAAGAAUUUAUGUGGUUCGGCAAUUUAUGCCUACGUCCACCAAACAAGGAUCAAUCUUCACUAUAUGAAAAAGAUGAAUACAACAAGAGUAGUCUUACCAAGCCAAAGACAAGGCUUGAUGGAUACAAGAAAGUAUAACACACACUUUCUAUCACUCUAAACUUCACUCACACAAUGUGUAGUGGAACACUCUCACUCUCACUCUUGGAGUGGAACUCUAGCUUUGGACUUGAUCCUUUGCUACUCACUCUUGGUUCUCAAUUGGUUACAUCACACCCAUAUUUAUAGGUGAGGGCUUGGCAUUCUACUAGUUUCUAGUUCCUUCUUCAAACCUCUAGUAUAGAAAAAUCUAGACUAGCCACAUACUUGUAGCUUCUAGAUCUUUCCAUUUGCAACCAAGGAAGCUAGUACUCUCUAGCUUCUUCCAUCAACUUAAUAACAUGCUAGAAUUGUCUAGCAAGCUCCAGCCUCAUCUCUUGCUUACUAGAAUAAUCUAGAACAUUGAUCAUGGGCUGGACCAACAAUCUCCCCCUCCAGUCCAUGAGGGAGGAAUUCCGAUCAUGACUCCAAGUUACCUGGAGUUCAUCCCAGCAGCCUUAAUGCAGAAUUCCAACUUUGAUUUUGUGACUACAUUUGUCAACAUGUCUGAAGAAUUAUUAUCGGUAUGAAUCUUCUUCAGCUGUAGCAACUUGUUCUCGAUAGCGUCUCUAAUCCAGUGAUAACGAAUAUCAAUGUGCUUAGUGCGUGAAUGAUAUGUAGUGUUCUUGCUCAAAUCCAGAGCACUCUGACUAUCACAAUAAACGCCAUAAUCACUUUGCUUCAAACCCAACUCUUGGAGAAACCGCUUCAGCCACAACAACUCCUUGCAUGCUUCUGUAGCGGCUAUGUAUUCAGCCUCGGUUGUGGACAAAGCAAUGCACUUUUGUAACUUGGAUUGCCAAGACACGGCUCCCCCUGCAAAAGUAAACAAGUACCCAGACGUAGAUUUUCUACCAUCCAGGUCACCUCCCAUGUCAGCAUCUGUAAAUCCUUCCAAGAUUGGUUUGGAACCGCCAAAGCACAAGCACAUCUUAGAAGUCCCCUUCAAAUAUCUGAGAAUCCACUUAACAGCUUCCCAGUGGUCCUUCCCUGGAUUAGAGAGAAACCUGCUCACCACACCUACUGCAUGAGCAAUAUCUGGCCGUGUGCACACCAUUGCAUACAUGAUACUUCCUACUGCUGAAGAGUAGGGAACAACUGCCAUUUUCUCCUUUUCUUCAUAUGUUUUUGGACACGACUCUUUGCUCAACUUGAUAUGAUUGGCUAAAGGUGAGCUUACCGAUUUGGCUGCUUUCAUGUUGAACCUUUCAAGCACCCGUUCAACAUACUUUUCUUGUGACAGCCACAACUUUUUGGAUUUUCUGUCACGAAUUAUAUCCAUGCCCAAAAUCUGCUUGGCUGGCCCUAAGUCCUUCAUGUCAAAGGACUUAGAUAACUCUUCUUUGAGCAUUUUAAUCAUAGAGGUAUCUUGUCCGACAAUCAACAUGUCAUCAACAUAAAGCAAUAAGAUGAUGAAUUUACCUCCAGAAAAUUGUUUGAUAUAGACACAAGAGUCAGCAUGAGUUCUCUUGUACCCAUUACUCACCAUGAAUGAGUUGAACUUCUUAUUCCACUGCCUCGGAGCCUGCUUAAGACCAUAUAAGCUUUUCUUGAGCUUGCACACCAAAUUUUCUUUACCUUUGACUUCAAAGCCUUUGGGUUGCUCCAUGUAUAUCUCCUCUUCUAAAUUGCCGUGGAGAAAUGCAGUUUUAACAUCUAACUGCUCGAGCUCAAGAUCCAUACUUGCUGCCAUACCAAGGAUAACUCGAAUGGAAGUCAUCUUCACCACCGGUGAGAAAAAUCUCAUCGAAGUCAACUCCUUUCUUUUGACCAAAACCUUUGACAACCAAACGAGCCUUGUACCUUGUCAUGUUGUCGUCUCUUUUCAAUUUGAACACCCACUUGUUUUUCAAUGCUUUCCUGCCCUUUGGAAGCUCCACCAGCUCAUAGGUAUCAUUCUUUGAUAAGGAAUCCAUCUCCGACUCCAUUGCCUUCAUCCAUUUGUCACUGUCGUUAUGAGCUCUGGCCUCCUCAUAUGUUUCAGGCUCUCCAUAAUUAGUCAACAUGAUAUACUCUGAUGAAGAAUACUUGGUAGACGGUCUUCGACUUCUGAUGGAUCUUCUGACCUGAUCUUCAUUCUCUUGUAGGGCUGGAGGCUCCCCCUGAUUGGGUUCUCCUUGAAUCUGCUCUUCUUGACUAGGCUCCACCUGAUCAGCAAUCUCAUGGUCUGGCACAUCUUGAUCAGGCUCCCCCUGAUCAGCAUUAUCUGGUUCUGCAGGCACUUCAUUGGCAGCUGCUUCAGGGAUGUCAUCGUGACUUUCUUCAUCUGAAGCUAAUGGAUCAACUCCUCUGUCUGCGCCAUCUGGUUGUGCUUCUUUAUCCGAAUCCCCAAUUGUUUGAUCUUCAUAAAAGAUCACGUCUCUACUUCGAAUAAACUUCUUCUGGUAUGGGUCCCAUAAUCUGUAACCAAAAUCUUCAUCGCCAUAACCAAGAAAGAUGCACGGUGUAGCUUUGUAGUCUAACUUCGAUCUCUGCUCUUUGGGCACAUGCACAAAAGCUUUACAGCCAAACACUUUCAGAUGAGAGUAAGACACAUCAUUACCAGCCCAUACUCUCUCUGGAACAUCAAGACCUAAUGGUACUGAUGGAGAUCGGUUGAUCAAAUAGCAGGCUGUCCUUACAGCUUCACCCCAGAACUGCUUAGAUAACUUUGCAGUCCUCAGCAUACACCUGACUUUCUCCAUGAUGGUUCGGUUCAUUCUUUCAGCAACACCAUUAUGUUGUGGAGUUCCAGGAACUGUCUUCUCAUGACGUAUGCCAUGUUUCACACAAUACUCUCUAAACUGGUGAGAUGUGUACUCGCCGCCGUUGUCGCUACGAAGGCACUUAAGAGGUUUCCCAAUUUCCCUCUCCACCAUGGCAUGGAACUCCUGGAAUGUCUGAAACACCUGGUCUUUGGAUUUCAACAAAUACACCCAAACCUUUCGUGAAGCAUCAUCAAUAUAAGUAACAAAAUAUUUAUUUCUUCCGAGUGACUCGACUUCCAUGGGACCAUACACAUCUGAAUAAACAAGAUCUAACAAAUUUCCUUUCCUUGUAGAUGGAAUCGAAAAACUAAUUCUUCUUUGUUUUCCUAAUAAACAGUGCUCACAAGAGUUUAACGACGUACCUUUGGCAAAGGGAAUGUGAGACUUCUUUGCCAAAACCUGUAGGCCUUUCUCGCUCAUGUGACCUAGCCUCUUAUGCCACAAGUCUAGAGAUGAGUCCUCCACAGCAUUCAACUCACCUUUCAAAACCUUGGCAUUUGACCGGUACAACGUACAACAAAGUCGUGCUCUUGCUACCACCAUUAAGCCUUUAGUAAGCUUCAAUUUUCCUUCGCCAAUAUGGUGAUAAUAUCCUUGUCGAUCAAGGGUACCGAUGGAUAUCAAAUUGAGACGUAUAUCAGGAAUAUGUCUCACAUCUUUCAACAUCAAUUGGCAGCCGAGAUUAGUUCUUAGACAUAUAUCACCAAUUCCAAGAAUUUUGGAAUAGCUUUCAUUCCCCAUCUUCACUAUGCCAAAGUCACCUUCUUUGUAUGUACUGAAGAACUCCCGUUUGGACGUAGCAUGGAAGGAAGCUCCAUUGUCAAAGAUCCAUUCAAUGUCUCUGUCAGAGUUGCCCAUAUGCAGACAUUCACCAACAGACAAUAUUUCUGGUACAUCACCACAUAUGACAGCAGUGGUAUUGCCAGUAUCAUCUUUCUUCUGAUUGUUUCCUUCCCUUUGCUCUCUCUUCCAAACUCGACAAUUUUUUCUUCAUAUGGCCUUCUUUGCCACAAUGGUGGCAUGCACCCCUGAACCUUGACUUGGAUCGGCUAGGACUCCUGCCAUGACCUCUAGGCCCUCUACUCUUGCUUCUUCCGCGGUUCUCUCUGUGACAAAUACUUGGCUGCUAUCUGUGCCAGAAGUCUUUCUCCUUGUUUCUUCAUUGAGCAUGCUAUUUUUAACAUUAUCAAGGGUAAGAACACCAUUAGAAGCAGAGUUACUUAUACUCACCACAAAGGUCUCCCAACUGUCUGGCAAGGAUCCAAGUAACAAGAGCGCUUGUAGCUCGUCCUCGAUCGUCAUUUUCAUAGUAGCCAACUGGUUGAUGAUAUUCUGGAAAUUGUUCAAGUGUUCUGCUACACUUAAACCAUCCUUGUACUUCACAUUGAUGAGCUCUUUGAUCAAGAAGGCUUUCUUAGCUGGAGUCUUCUUCUCGAACAAGGACUCAAGCUUUGUCCAAAACUCGCGAGCAUUGGUUUCAUUAGACACAUGGUGAAAAAACACUAUCGUCCACCCAUUGUCUAAUUGUGCCAAUAGCCUUGCGAUUCAUCUUCUUCCACUCGGCAUCGGACAUGCUCUCUGGCUUAGCGGCAUCUCCUUCAAUUGGCUCAUGCAGAUCCUUGCAAUAGAGAAUGUCCUCCAUCCUUGGCUUCCAUGUUACCCAAUUGGAGUUGGUGAGUUUGAUCAUAGUGCCACUUCCUUCCAUCUCGCAGUACGAGCCAACCGGGCUCUGAUACCACUUGUUAGGAAUGUCGGUACUACAAGAUAGAGAAUGCAUAAGGUAAAGUAGAAAAUGGACACCAAGAAUUUAUGUGGUUCGGCAAUUUAUGCCUACGUCCACCAAACAAGGAUCAAUCUUCACUAUAUGAAAAAGAUGAAUACAACAAGAGUAGUCUUACCAAGCCAAAGACAAGGCUUGAUGGAUACAAGAAAGUAUAACACACACUUUCUAUCACUCUAAACUUCACUCACACAAUGUGUAGUGGAACACUCUCACUCUCACUCUUGGAGUGGAACUCUAGCUUUGGACUUGAUCCUUUGCUACUCACUCUUGGUUCUCAAUUGGUUACAUCACACCAUAUUUAUAGGUGAGGGUUUGGCAUUCUACUAGUUUCUAGUUCCUUCUUCAAACCUCUAGUAUAGAAAAAUCUAGACUAGCCACAUACUUGUAGCUUCUAGAUCUUUCCAUUUGCAACCAAGGAAGCUAGUACUCUCUAGCUUCUUCCAUCAACUUAAUAACAUGCUAGAAUUGUCUAGCAAGCUCCAGCCUCAUCUCUUGCUUACUAGAAUAAUCUAGAACAUUGAUCAUGGGCUGGACCAACACAUAAUUCUGUCCAUGUUACAUACAGCGAAGCAGUUUCUGAAUUUGGCACCCUCCUUGUGCUUGCGCAGCAAUGCAUUCCACUGAAGCUCAGCCGCCUCCCCAACAUUCGCAUCUUGCAAAUAUCGUAUGAUAAAAUGUGGAAGCAAAGCAUCGGGCUCUAUGACGCAGCUUAAAUUGCCUUUGCUAGCUGAUGCUGCUGAGGCUUUCACCUGCUCCAAAUAUUUAAUAUCCACACCCCACCGUCUCGGGUUGAACCUGCCCUGACGCUUGUAGUACUUCUGCAAGGGCGCCAAGAACUCCUUCCUCAGCCGCUCCCACUGAUCAUCCUCCUUUGAUGAUUGAUCUGGUUGUUGCGAUUGCGACACCAAAGGGAAGAGCCGCCUGGCAGUGCUUUCACGAAGCGCAAUGGCGCGGAUGGCAUGGGCGUCGGAGGGGAAUGUGGUGAGGAAACAGUCUGCGGCCUCGGAGACGUAGAGAUCAGCAAAAGCAUCAGCAUCAAUAGGACGUAUAACAGAAUCAUGUUCCCGAGAAUCAUCCUCGUCAUGAUCGUCGUCAUCAGUUAAAUAAUCAGAAGGCUUGAGUUCCAGCUUGUUCUGCUGCAUCUUUUGAAUAUCGGACUUGAGCCGCUCCACGAAAAUAUCCAUAGCGCGGUCGUGCAAGGACUUGUAAUGCGGAUCGCGGUCGUAUCUCUGGCGGUGUUUCUCCUCCAUCUCCUCCACCUCAGUCUCCUGCUGGUCCUGCGGAAGGAGAAGGCCGUAGAGAAUCUUGACAAUGGCGUAUAAUCCCCCGAAAGAGUCAAGGUUAUGCGCCAGAGUUCUGGGGUGGUUGCGGUGGAGCCAAGACAUGGCCGCGGACGAGGCUUCGGAUAGAAGUGAUUUGUGGAGAGGUUGAAGAUAAGCUUGAGGGUGGUGAGGGGGUUGUGGGACCAGGCGAGUGGGAGCCGUUGCUCGAGAGAGUUGAUGAGGGCAGUGUCAGUGUGGGAAGUACGGGCGGCAGAUGCUGGUGGUGGUCGCACCUUGAAAAAGAUAUCGAGGCACGGGUCGCUGUAGAAGGAGGAGGAGGAGUAGGAGGAAGCCAUAAUCUGAGGCUUAGCGGCGGCGUUGGCCACCUUGGACGCUAUGAAGCUUGUUGCGAGGUGGAAUUGCGGAGGAGGAGCGACACCAACCACCCUUGUCAGUGAAGGAAAAGAAACAAUGCUGCCUGGUGUUGCUAAUUUCAGAACCCUGGCCAGAUUCUUCAUCUCUAAAUCUCAAAUUCAAAUUAUGUCCCUCUCUGUUGGGUGGCGGUUGGAGUAGGAAUUGUGGAUCUUUAUUUGUUGGAGAAGAAGAUAUGAGGAUAUAAAUUGGGUCCGGGAGUUGUGCGUGUCAUGUAAUUCUCAUGAUUAUUUAUCCUUGUUUUCCAAGUAAUACGAUUAAUAAUCUAUUAGGAUUUAUAAAAAUCACAGUUUUAAUAGAAUUAGGACUGCAACCGUCUUUCACUUUUUAACAAAAAUUACAACAACAAAGCCUUAUUGAUCCUUCUAAAUAAGAAUUUUUUAUUUUAGAAAAAGUAAAUGAUUGUUUGGUUCAGAAGAAUAGUUUUCCUAUUUGUUUGUUUGUAAUUUUCUGUUUCGUUUUACAAAACCAUUUCAUUUACAAAUAACGUUAAGAGAGCGUGUGAUACUUUUUGAUCCCUCACCUCAGCUGGGUUGAUAAAUAUCUUUAGCUCAAUACGUAAUUGAGAUUGUUUGUUCAAUUUAUUGGAGCUGAGCAGUGUGCCAUUCCUAAUUUCUUUGGUUUAGAAUUGUCGCGCAGCUCAUGCUGCAAUGGUUCCACGCUUGUUAAACUAAACGCAUUCAUUAAACCAAUCUAUUUUAUAUUAAUUCAUAUAUAUAUAUAUAUAUAUAUAUAGAAAGCAAAUAACAUAAACGUUUUUACGUGCGUCCACGUUCAUCUAAUUUAAAAUAUUUAAAAUAGCACUCUUACUCAAGCUGCACUUCUUCCUUUCCUUCAGCCCUCUUCUUUCUCUUCUCUGGAGUGACCUAAUGCUGCUUGAGCACUUUGUUCUUGUCAUGCAGCUCAUGCUGCCAUGGUUCCACGCUUGUUAAACUACUUUUAGUUUGAACAAUGUUUUGCGAAACCCAUUCAUUAAACCACUCUAUUUUAUAUUAAUUCAUACACACAUAUAUAUAUAGAAAGUAAAUAACAUAAACGCUUUUACGUGCGUCCACGUUUGCCUAAUUUAUUUAUCUAGGAGGCAAAACGUUUUUAUGUGCAUCCACAUUCGCCUAAUUUAAAAUAUUUAAAAUAGCACUCUUACUUAAUGCUGCCUGCUUCAGCGCUUCUUCCUUCUCUUCUCUGGAGUGACCUAAUGCUCCUUGAGCACUUUUUCCUUUUCUGGAGUAACCUCUAUCCCCACCCUCUUGCCCGCAUCAUGUACUUCCCUUUUGAAAUUGCCAGAGAUCAUCAUUUAUUACAAUUUCCACUUUCCAACCAUGCUCCUCAAAAGAGGCAAGCUCGCAGAGGGCUUAUGCAUCUUGGAAAUCUUCAACAACAACUCUCCUAUGGCUCUGUAGCUCCUCCACGUCUCUUAGAGAAGCUGCCUUCUUCGCAUGGAAGUUUUCUAGCUUUUCAGAGUCAACAUUUUGGUUAUUACUUUCGAGGCUUCUCACCUCUCUCUUCAGGGGAAGGUAAUCAUUUUGUUUGUUUGAUUUCUUUCUAAUAUUCAAAUAAUUAUUGUUGUGUAAUCCUAAUAGCACUGUUGUUGCAGCUCGAAUAGAUAUGUACCAGAGCAUGGGAGAUGCUCUUGCGCAGCAGUAUGGUGGCUCUGCAGCUCACAACACUGUAUGUUCUUAUUUUAUUCUUGGGUUAGAGCAUGUAUAUAUUAUCAGUUGGUAGAUGUCAUAGAUCAACCCCUAUAUUCUAACGUAAAGUAAAAAAAGAAAAAAAAAACUCUAUCUCUAAUCAGAUGUCCACUGAAAAGAAAACAAAUCACAUUACAGACCAAUACAUUUUUGCAGUCUUCUUGACAACAACAACUUAUCUGGGUAUCUUUUGCCAGGGUUCUCGGAGUUGCCAAGCUUAUUAAUGUUGUAUGUUUUCUUACUUUGGAACAUAAAUUUGUGCCUUAAUUAUGUUUUCAUCCUUUCCUUUCUUGCAUUUUCGUACUGUUGGGAACAAUUCUCUAGACUUUCCUUUUUCUACAACAUAAUGCAAUCCCGUAUCAAGUUUCUUAGCCCUAUAAUCUUAUUUGUUUUGCAGUCAAGUUGACAACAACUUUGGUGGGAUUACAAUUCCAGAUUCGUAUAGCAACAUGUCAAAACUGUUCAAGUUGUAAGUGCUGCUUCUGAUUCUAUGUCUUUUAGUAAGUUGUAAGAGCUUUAAAUCUCUAUUUUUUCAUACAUCAGAUUUAAAGCUCCAACUAUGGAGGUGUAAAUCCAAAAGAUUUGUGAUUAAGCAUAGCAACAAUAGAGGGAAUCAUAGUUUUUGUUGUGAAACAAAUUUCCAACCACUGUGCAGGGAACAUCUCACGUUUCUAUCACAUUAGGUGAUGGUGCUGGUUGUUUGGAAUGACAAUCGAGAAGUAGCUCUUAAUAUUUAACACGACGAAUCAUGUCAAGAUUGAAUAUCUUUGUGUUUUUAUUGUUUCUUUCAGGAGUUUGAGGAACUGCAACUUACAAGGGCCUAUUCCUAAUUUUAGUAGGUUUCCAAACCUUGGUUAUGCAUAGGUUCAAGUUUAACUGUGUAAUAAAUGGAGAGAUUAAUCGCCGUCACUCAUAGCUGCGUUUCAGGAAACAAGUUUAUCUCUUGCCAAUUUUGUAUACCCACUUUUUGUGUGUAUUAUACAGUAAAAUGACAUUUUUGUCCCUGCUGCGCAAUAGAAAUCUCUCCGUUUCUUCAGAACCCGCACUCAGCUUUCACCAUCUCUCUACCAUCUCUGCUUUCUUCCAUCUCUGCUUCGCGCUCUUCAAUCUUUGCUUUGUCAUCUCUUCCUCCGUGAUUUCUUCACCAGCAACUUUGCUCAAGAUCUUUCCAAUUGAAAAAACCCAGAUCAUCAUCAUCUAUUCCUCAUCACCACAGGUACCUUCUACACCUAUUACAUGUCAAAAUCUGCUUCGUGUUCUCUUCAUGUUUUAGUUCCUUUUCACUGCUUUUGGUUGAUUUUUAUUCCCAUUUCUUUUCGAUCUCUUCUUUCGUAGCCGUCUGCUCUCUCUUCUUUCUUCGCCUCUGUUGGUCUCAAAGUGGAUAGUUUUGCGGUGAGUUGUUCUAAUCUUGCAUCUACAACUUUUUUAUGCAACUGUAUGGAUUGUGUUCUGUUCAAUUUUAGAUGUUAGAAGCUUUUAAUUUCUUAGGUUCAAUUUUAAAUGGGUUGUUGCUUUCGGAGUUUUCGUUUAAUGACAGAGAUGGGGUUUUUUGGGGAGAAACUUUUAAUAUUUUCCCCCCUUUUUAGCAGCAGACUUCAAAUCUUUGUCCAUUCCCAUUUUAUCGAAAAAGCAGUUCAUAAAGUUUCAAUUUUUAUCAGAGAAAAGAGAGAGAGAUGAGAGAAAUCAUAAGCAUUCAUAUUGAGCAUGCUGGAAUUCAUGUGGGCAAUUCAUGCUGGGAGCUCUACUGCCUCGAGCAUGGAAUUCAACCUGAUGGGCAGGUGCCCAGGUAGGUUUUUGUAUAUCUCCAUCGAUAUUUCUAUUUAUAUAUGCACUUUUUUGGGGUUUUUUAUUUAUUUUGGUGGGUGUUUUUCUCAAAUGGUAGUGUAGAUCAAUGUGUUCUGACUUUAUCAUUAUUGGUUAUUAAAGGGUUUCUUGGAAAUUUGGAAUAGUUGCUUUUAAUAUAUUGGUGUUUGAGAUCUUUUGUAUGAAUUUCAGAUAUCUGAUUGUUGUUAUCUAUUUAUUUGGGGGGUGUAUAUCUGUUGAUUAUAUAAGUAUUUUGUUGGAGUUUUUGAUAUUUUUGAGUGGACUGUCAUAGGGUUCAGAAAUAUUUUCAACUCAAGAAUGGAUUUUCUGAAAGGAGUUGAUGGUGAAACUAAAAGUUACCAUAAAAGAAAUAGCAUUGAUUUUGCUUGAAUCUGACUGAUCGGAUGCAUUUGCUUUCUUUGCAAGGUUGUUGAAAUUGAUACGUCCCAAGUCUGGUGAGAUUAGAGAUAGUAUCAAGGAACUGAAUAUGAUGCAACACAUCCAUUGCAGGUAACUGAAGCUGAUAUUGAACAUUGUCGAUUCAUCGGAACCUAUAUUCUUCUGCGUUUCCUCAAAAUCCAAGGUACGGACUUCACCCAGCCGUAAGUUAUUGGGAUUUUUUUAUUUUAGUUUUGGAUUAGUAAUUUUUUGCUCGGUAGCUGAGAAAAUGUGAUCCCUUGUUUUAGGUUUGGUGUUUUUGUGAUUUUGGGUUCGUAGGUUUUUCAGAUUUUGGGAGUUUGUUUGUAGGCUGCAAAAUCCUCUGUUCUCAAGGUAAGUAAUUUAAAAUUCUGGGAUUAUUCAAUUGAAAGUUUAGAGGUCGCACUUGGUGCGAUGGCAAGUGCCUUCGCCCAUGAGCGGUAGGUCUCGGGUUCGAGACUUGGGAGUAGCCUCUCCAUAAAUGGGGGUAAGGCUAGCCGACAUUCACCUCUCCCAGACCCUGCGUAAAGCGGGAGCCUUAUGCACUGGGUACGACCUUUUCAAUUGAAAGUUUCAAUUUAUAGUUUAGUUUAGUUUAGUUAUUUUAUAAUUAUACAAUAAUUUUAAUUAACUCCGCCUAUGUCUUACAUGGCCGGUCCCAAGCCCGGAUAAAGGAGGAGGGGGAGGGCGUCAGGUAGUCGACAACCGGCACUCCAUGAUCACGUCGAAUCCUUAUGAAAAUGAAUCCAGAACAAAAUCGCGCUAAAGCUAGGGCGUCACCCGUAAGUGGCGCGCUGUGUGGCCUGAGCACAGUGAUAAGUGAGCAAGGGUCGCUGUAUCUCCAUCGGCACCCGGAUGCAGUGUUAAAUGAGCAAGGGGGCCAUAGAAACUUCUUUUCGAACGACUCCACUCAAAGUUGUUUGGGAGCAUAUGCUCCUAUCAACUUUACCCGGGACACACAAAAGAAGUACUUUGAUCCUAUUAGACGGGGGAGGUGAAGAAGCUAGGACAGAAGGGUAGAGUUCAAGAGAGCAAAAUGCGUUUAGGAACGUGGAAUAUAGGAACCUUAACGGGAAAAUCUAUGGAAGUAGUGGAAGUUAUGGUGAGGAGAAGGAUAAAUAUUAUGUGCCUACAAGAAACUAAGUGGGUUGGUAGUAAGGCAAAGGAUCUAGAAAACUCAGGGUUUAAACUUUGGUAUUCGGGCACAAAUAGAACGAGAAACGGUGUUGGCAUCAUCGUGGACAAGACCUUGGUACAAGAUGUUGUAGAUGUCAAGAGGGUAGGAGAUAGAAUCAUGGCAAUCAAGAUUGUAAUAGGACAAGAACUUAUCAAUGUGAUUAGUGCGUACGCACCUCAAGUAGGGUUGGAUACGAGUUCGAAGGAGAAAUUUUGGGAAGAUCUUGGAGACUUGGUGCAAGGAAUUGCUCAGACGGAGAAGUUAUUUAUAGGAGGAGAUUUAAAUGGACACGUGGGCAGGGAGACAGGCAACUAUGGAGGUUUUCAUGGUGGCCAUGGUUUUGGGGAGAGAAACGAGGAUGGGGAAGCUAUCUUGGAUUUUGCAAUGGCAUAUGAUCUCUUCUUAGCCAACACCUUCUUUAAGAAGAGAGAAGAACAUGUGAUCACCUACAAGAGUGGGUCGUCAAAAAACACAAAUAGAUUUUCUUCUAAUGAGGAAAGGGGAUCGUAUAACUUGUAAGGAUUGCAAAGUUAUACCAGGAGAGAGCGUGGCUAAUCAACAUCGCUUGUUGGUGAUGGAUGUACAUAUCAAAAGAGUAAGACAAAAGAACAAGACUUGGAAGUGCCCAAGGACUAGAUGGUGGAAUCUAAAAGAAGAAAAAACAAGCCAUUUUCAAAGAGAAGGUAAUCACCCAAUGUGUGUGGGAUAGAGAGGGGGAAGCUAGCCAAAUGUGGGAUUCCAUGGCUAGUUGUAUCCGAAAAGUAGCAAAAGAGGUAUUAGGAGAGUCCAAGGGCUUUGCCCCACACCAAAAGGAAUCUUGGUGGUGGAAUGAGGAGGUACAAACAAAGGUGAAGGCUAAGAAGGAAUGUUGUAAAGCCUUAUACAAGGAGAGGACCGAUGAAAAUGGUGAAAGGUAUAGAAAAGCGAAGCAAGAGGCGAAGAAAGCUGUCAGAGAAGCUAAGUUAGCGGCUUACGACGAUAUGUAUAAACGACUAGAUACCAAAGAAGGAGAGUUGGAUAUCUAUAAACUAUCUAGAGCAAGGGAAAAGAAGAAGACAAGGGACCUAAACCAAGUGAGGUGCAUCAAGGAUGAGGAUGGAAAGGUUCUUGCUACAGAGAACGCGGUUAAAGACAGAUGGAGAGGUUAUUUUUCAUAAUCUUUUCAAUGAAGGACAUGAAAUGAGUGCUUCUUUAGGGGAGUUGAGUAACUCAGAAGAGUGUAGAAACUACUCUUUUUAUCGUCGAAUCCGGAAGGAAGAAGUGGUUGUAGCUUUGAAGAAGAUGAAGCAUAAAAAAGCAAUAGGCCCAGACGAUAUACCAAUCGAAGUGUGGAAAGUUUUGGGAGAGACAGGUAUAACAUGGCUCACUGACCUUUUCAAUAGGAUUUUGAAAACGAAGAAGAUGCCAAAUGAGUGGCGAACGAGCACUUUGGUGCCUAUCUACAAGAAUAAGGGCGACGUACAAAAUUGCAUGAACUAUAGGGGUAUUAAGCUAAUGAGUCAUACAAUGAAGCUCUGGGAGAGAGUCAUUGAGCAUAGAUUGAGGCAAGAGAGACACGGGUUUCGGACAACCAAUUCGGGUUCAUGCCAGGGCGCUCAACCAUGAGGCAAUCUAUCUCUUACGAAGAUUGAUGGAAAGAUAUAGAGAUGGGAAAAAGGAUUUACACAUGGUCUUUAUAGAUUUGGAAAAAGCGUAUGAUAGGGUCCCAAGAGACAUUCUUUGGAGGAUUUUAGAGAAGAAAGGAGUACGAGUAGCAUAUAUCCAAGCUAUAAAGGAUAUGUAUGAAGGAGCAAAGACUGCCGUAAGAACUCAUGAAGGACAAACCGAAAGCUUUCCCAUAACUGUAGGAUUACAUCAAGGCUCAUCCUUAAGUCCUUACCUUUUUGCGUUGGUAAUGGAUGAGUUAACAGGACAUAUUCAAGAUGAUAUUCCUUGGUGUAUGCUUUUCGCAGACGAUAUAGUGUUGAUAGAUGAAACUCAGGAAGGGGUAAAUGCAAAGCUUAACCUUUGGAGAGAAGUGUUGGAAUCUAAAGGUCUUCGCCUAAGCCGAUCAAAGACAGAAUAUAUGGAGUGCAAGUUCAGUGCAAAUGGAGGCCAAAACGAGUUAGGGGUGAGGAUCGGAGAUCAAGAAAUACCAAAGAGCGACCGUUUUCGUUACCUAGGAUCUAUCUUGCAAAAGAACGGAGAAUUAGAUGGAGAUCUCAACCAUAGAAUACAAGCUGGAUGGAUGAAGUGGAAGAGUGCAUCCGGCGUGUUGUGUGACCGCCGUAUGCCACUGAAGCUCAAGGGAAAAUUUUAUAGGACGGCAAUAAGGCCGGCGAUGCUGUAUGGCACAGAAUGUUGGGCGGUGAAACAUCAACACGUACACAAAAUGGGUGUAGCGGAGAUGAGGAUGCUUCGUUGGAUGUGUGGGCACACGAGAAAGGAUAAGAUUAGGAAUGAGGAUAUCCGGGGUAAAGUAGGAGUAGCCGAAAUUGAAGGAAAGAUGAGAGAAAAUCGGUUACGGUGGUUUGGACAUGUGCAAAGAAGGCCUACUGACGCUCCGAUUAGAAGAUGCGACUAUGGGACAGAGGUUCAGGGCCGAAGGGGUAGAGGAAGACCUAGGAAAACUUUGGAAGAGACUCUAAGAAAAGACUUAGAGUACUUGGAUCUAACGAAGGACAUGACACAGGAUCGAGCACAAUGGCGUUCUAAGAUUCAUAUAGCCGAUCCCACUCAGUGACUUGGAUUUUCCAAGUCUCCAACCGAGAAGUUUUCCUCACUCGGGAAAUUAAGGGAACACUACCCCAACCUACAUGCUCCACUCAGAAAGCUUCAACAUACAAGCUUCAACAAAAGAAAAUUCAAAGAACUUAGCGAAGAAGGCUUUGGUGUAUUUAACACAAUACGUUGAAAUGAAGGAAAGCUUAUUUAUUGAUAUCCCCGAUAAGCUACAAAUAUGUACAUAUACAUGAGUCAAAAUAAACACACAAGAGGGAGCCUUCACAAAGGUUGCUUAGGAGAAGUCUCAGCAGUCGGUAGAGCCCCAGAAAGAGAAGGCACCGGAGGGGGAUCAUUUGGAGCCUCAGUACUGGACAGAACCCUAGAAGGAGGAGGCAUCAGAGGUUGAUCAUUUGGAGCUUCAUUACGCGGUACAGCCCCAGAAGACGAAGGCAAUAAAUGCCUUUGGAACAAACCCACAAAUCUCUGAUGAUCAAGUAAAACCUGACCAUCAGUUUCCUUCAUCUGGUCAAGCUUCCUCUUCAUGUUUGUAGCAUAGUCAUGUGCGAGCCGGUGCAACUGUUUAUUCUCAUGCUUGAGCCCUCUAAUCUCCUGUUUGAGACUCAUCACUUCAGCCGCCAAUGAUUCAACUUGGCGGGUUCGAGCAAAUAGGCGUUGGGCCAUAUUAGACACAGAACCUGCACACUGAACACUGAGAGCCAGCGAAUCCUUAACAGCUAACUCAUCAGACCGUUUGGAAAGUAGUCUGUUAUCUUUGGGAGUGAGAAGGUUCCUGGCCACCACCGCAGCGGUCAUAUCAUUCUUCAUCACGGAAUCCCCAACGGUAAGAGGACCAGUAGGGGAGACGAAGGAUGGGCGCCAUAUGUUGUCUGGAGAAGGCGGGGCUGCCUCUUCAACAAGGUUCAAGUCAAAACGACGGUCGGAGGGGCCAGACAUUUUCAAAGGUGUUGAAGAGAGAAGAGGUCGGACAAAUCAAGAUCUUAGAAGUGCAAGAAUGAAGCUUCUACUGGUGGAGAUUCAAGUGUGCUUUAGAACUUAAUGCCAGCCCCUAUAAAAAUCUGCACUCGACGGAGCUUCAGAAAUCGAAGAGGCGUUUGCUUUCUCAAAAGCUGGGCUGCUUAGAGAUCACGAGGGUUGAUCUCAGAAAUCGAAGAGGCUUUUUGCUUUCUCAAAAGUUGGGCUGCUCAAAGACCACGAAGGCCGAUCUCAGAAAUCGAAGAGGCGCUCGCUUUCUCAAAAGCUGGGCUCCCCAGAGACCACGAGGGCCGAUCUCAGAAAUCGAAGAGGCACCUAUUUUUCCAGCCUUGUCAGCACCUGUCACACGCACACUCAGCUUUGCGGAAAUUAUGGGCAUUCUGUCGAAGACUUCUGGGGAAGUAGAAAACACAUGAAUCUUACUGUUCAAUCACCCACUUCCCACACGCAACAAUAGCUCAUGGGUACCACAGAUAACUUUGCCAAAGUUCUCUGCCAAAGUUGAGCACGUGAAGCUUGCAGCUCCCACUACAUCGCUCUGACCAAGAAGGGUAAAAGAAUAGCAAAGAAACAGCACUAACAAAGUUUAGACCCAUAAAUUUUGAAGGUCUAGCUACCAUAUUAUUACCCACAAGGGUAAAGGAACAGUACCACUGCUGGAUAAUUGGAAAGUCCCUGUGUGUCAACCUCUGUGCUUCGUGGCAAGGUAGACUAGCAAACAUGCCCAACCUUUACUCACAUUCGAGAAAACACUCCCAACAAGAUUGCUUGCUCCAAAAUCGAAGAGGCACCGCCCUUCCGAAUCUCGAGAGCCAGACUCCCAACAUGAUUACUUUCUCAAAAAAUCGAAGAGACACUGCUCCCCCGAAUCUUCGAGAGCCAAACCCCCAGCAUGAUUGUUUUCUCAAAAAUCGAUGAGGCAUCGUUCUCCGAAUCAAUCGAAGAGGCGCUCGCUUUCUCAAAAGCUGGGCUGCUCAGAGACCACGAGGGCCGAUCUCAGAAAUCGAAGAGGCACCUACUUUUCUAGCCUUGUCAGCACCUGUCACACGCACACUCAGCUUUGCAGAAAUUAUGGGCAUUCUGUCGAAGAUUUCUAGUGAAGUAGAAAGCACAUGAAUCUUACUAUUCAAUUACCCACUUCCCACACGCAACAAUAGCUCAUGGGUACCAUAGAUAACUUUGUCAAAGUUCUCUGCCAAAGUUGAGCACGUGAAGCUUGCAGCUCCCACUACAUCGCUCUGACCAAGAAAGGUAAAAGAAUAGCAAAGAAACAGCACUAACAAAGUUUAGACACAUAAAUUUUGAAGGUCUAGCUACCAUAAUAUUACCCACAAGGGUAAAGGAACAGUACCACUGCUGGAUAAUUGGAAAGUCCCUGUGUGUCAACCUCUGUGCUUCGUGGCAAGGUAGACUAGCAAACAUGCCCAACCUUUACUCACAUUCGAGAAAACACUCCCAACAAGAUUGCUUGCUCCAAAAUCGAAGAGGCACCGUCCUCCGAAUCUCGAGAGCCAGACUCCCAACAUGACUACUUUCUCAAAAUCGAAGAGAGGGUAAAGGAACAGUACCAUUGCUGGAUAAUUGGAAAGUCCCUAUGUGUCAACCUUUGUGCUUCGUGGCAAGGUAGACUAGCAAACAUGCCCAACCUUUACUCAAAUUCGAGACAACACUCCCAACAAGAUUGCUUGCUCCAAAAUUGAAGAGGCACCGCCCUCCGAAUCUCGAGAGCCAGACUCCCAACAUGAUUACUUACUCAAAAAUCGAAGAGACACUGCUCUCCGAAUCUCGAGAGCCAGACCCCCAGCAUGAUUGCUUUCUCAAAAAUCGAAGAGGCAUCGUUCUCCGAAUCUCGAGAGCCAGAUACCACAGACCACUUUUUCAAAGUGCUCUGACAGAGUUAAAACAUGUGAAACUGACAGCUCCCACUACCGUGCUAUGACCAAGCAGGGUAAAGGAAUAGCAUUACUACUUGUUGUUAGGGAGACUCCUAUAUAUGUCAACCUCCAUCCCCAACGGACAGGCAGACCUGCAAAAAUGCUCAACCCUUCAUCAUAUCUGAGAGGGCACUCCCAACGAAGCCUUUCGAAAUAUUCAGCUUUCUUUCCCCCCGAUAAUACCUCUGCAAACAAGCUAUACUAGAGCAAGAAUAUCUCAUAUCAUCAGGGUUAAAAGCAAGAGUAUCCCAUAUCAUGCUUUUUCCCUAUCUUUUCCUUUGGCCUUGUUUUUACCUGCAAGACAAGGAGAAAGAGAGCAAUCAGUCAGCACUUGGAAUCAAGCUUCCAGCCAGGAACUGACUGCCUGGAACCCCUUACCUGAUUACUUACCUGGCAUUGCUCUCGAG
rnacentral:lncRNA from 1 species